rnacentral:lncRNA from 1 species
AAUUCAUCAAAAACCUAUUUUCUUCAUAAAGCCUCUUUUAGGUUAAAUCGAGAUAUUGAAAUUUCAUAUCUAUAUGUCGAUUUGACAUUCGCUUCUCUUGGAGAUCUCUUUUCUGGUUUUCAUCGAUACUCUAAGCGAAAGAUUACCAUACACAUGAUGUUCUUCAUAACGGUGUCGUGGAUUCGGCGUGAUUGACAGCAGUUCGUGGAUUCGGAUCGUGAGCUUCGUGGAUUCGGAGCGGAGGCGUUUCGUGGAUUCGAAACGUGGCGUUCGUGGAUUCGAACAUGAGGGCGUGGACAACCCGGAGGAUUGCGCGAGAUUCAUAGGAGGUUAAGAGAGGUUGAGUCCGUGGAGUCGGUAAUCACCUUGUAAUCUUUUCUCUUAGUGAAUUAUUUUUUCGCGUGUUGGUCCCGUGGGUUUUUCUCCAAGUUGGAGUUUUCCUACGUAAAUCUCGGUGUGAUUUUUAUUUUUUGCAUUUAUUUUUAUUGCAUUGAGAUUUGUGGUUUUUGGUUAUUACACCUAUUCACCCCCCUCUAGGUGUUAGAUACAAUCUAGAAAGAUCCUUGGGCACUCCAAAACUUUCAAUUGGUAUCAGAGCGGGAUUUAGAUAAAUUGUUAUCUAAUGGCCGAAGGCGGAAAUAUUAAUCGACCACCGCUUUUCGAUGGCACAAACUAUGCCUAUUGGAAAGUUCGCAUGAGAGCUUUUCUAAUUGCAAUCGAUGAGCGCGUUUGGCAAUCUAUAGAAUUUGGAUGGAAACAUCCUAUUGAAAAGGUCGAGAAUGUUGAAACGCCUAAACCACGGAACAAGUGGACAAAAGAUGAAAACGAGUCAUCUUCGUUUAACGGUAAAGGAAUUAACGCUUUAUUCAACGCUUUAUCGCAAACGGAGUUUACUCGUGUUUCGGCAAGCGCAACGGUAAAGGAAAUUUGGGAUACUCUACAAAUUACGUAUGAAGGAACAAGCUUAGUAAAGGUCCAAAAAUUACAAAUGCUAACAAGCAAAUUUGACUCGAUUUUUAUGGAAGAAAACGAGACCUUUACCGAGUACUACACGCGUCUACAGGACGUAGUCAAUACAUGCGCUAACUUGGGAGAGAAAAUCCCGGAUGCUAAGGUUGUUAGAAAGAUUCUUCUAACUCUUCCGGAACGCUUUCGGGCAAAAGUUGCCGCGAUCGAAACCGUAAAGCAUCCGGACGAGAUGAAAGUCGAAGAGUUAGUAGGCGCUUUACAAAUGUAUGAGAUGACUUUUCCUACUAACCCAUCUUCUUCCAAGUCGUUUUCUAAAAGUACAAGGAUUGCACUGAAAUCAACAAAGAAAGAAGAAGAUGAUUCGGAUUCCGACGGAGAUUUUUCGCUCGCCGAUUUCAAACAUCAACUUGCUCUUCUCACGAAGAAGUUUCGACGGAAUUUUCGAAAGAAGAACAAUUCAGACAAGGCUUCAUCUUCGAAGCAUAAAUCUUUUUCUAAACACUCUUCAAGUUCUAAAACUAAAGAUAAAAAACUUGCAAAGUCUUCAAAAGAAAAAGAUGAAUUUGAAGGCGAAAUUCAGUGUUACAGAUGCAAAGGCUACGGCCAUAUUGCAACGGAUUGUCCUUCAAAGAAGGCUUAUAAGCAAAAGGCUUUGCAAGCUAAGACUUGGGAUGAUUCUUCUUCUAGUGAAUCAUCUUCAAGUGAUGAAGAAAAAAGUGAUCAUGUUGCUUUAUUUACUAACACUUUUUUACCUUUAUCUAACGUUGUUUGUUUAACCUCUAUUGCUACUAAUUCCGAUAUUUCUCUUUCUUCGCAUGACUCUUCGAGCAACAAUGGCGAAAGUGAGGAGGAAUCAAACGAUGACGACAUAGCGGAAGCGUACAAUCAACUUCUUAUUGAGUCGAAGAAAAUGGCCAAACAUAACAAGAAGUUGAGGCGGCGUCUAUUGGGCAUCGAGGAGGAAAACAACAACUUAAAGACUUUGAAUAAGGCUCUCGAGGAGGAAAAGGAUUCAAACUUGAAAAAUAAUUCGGACCUCCAAGAGAAGCUAGAUGAAGCGGAAUCAAACAUCAAAUCUUCUAAAGAUAAGAUUGAAUUUUUGGAGCACCAAUUUCAGGAAAUUCAUGCAUCCAACCAAGUCUUAACUAGUCAAGUUCGUCAACUUCAAUCCGACAUUCAAUAAUUUUCUUCCGGAUCAAAGAAACUAGAUCAUAUGCUCGGAUUGGGUCAAACGAACAAGUUGGGCCUCGGCUAUGAAAGGACUUAUGUUGAGAAGGAUCAAACGGUGGCAUCUAAAAUCACAACAACUUUAAAGGACAAAGUGUGUCAUUGGUGUGGAAUUAAAGGUCACAUCAAAAGGAAUUGCCCGGUGAAACAUAGGAAGAAUCAUUCGGCGACUCCUAAAGCUCAAUCGGCAUCAUCUAUAACUCGACUUCCCCCACGGAAUCAAAAGCAAAAUCGAGUGAGUCGAGUAUCUCAAGAAAACCGGAUUUCUAAGCCUCAAGCAACGAAACGACCAUCGAUUGAUCAAAAAUCAAAGCAAACGGCACCUAAAGUCGACAAGACAAGACAACGCAAAAUCCGACAAGUUUGGAUCCGGAAAGGUGAUAUCUUUCCUUGCUUUUUGUCUUAGUUUGUUUUAUUAUUUAUGUAAUGCUUUGUUUGGUGCUUAUUGCAUAUUUUUAUUUAUUGCAUUACAUAUUUGGCCGAUUUUUGGUGCUUGAAUUUUAUUUGUUUUUAAGGAAAGGUGUUGGGGAUUUUUAAGUGUUUUUUUUUAGAAAUGAGACGAUUGAAAAUCUUUAUUUUGGGGAGAAUAGAAUUUUUCAAAGUGUUUUUAACCGGAACUCAUCUUGAAUUAAAUUCAUAUUAAUUAUCGGUUUUACUCCACUUUUUAUUAUUUUGACGAUAAUUUAAUAUAUGAUUUCUUAAUACAUAUAUUCAACAAAAUUUUGAAAUCAAUUUUGAUCUCUUGGUGAUUAAUCUAUCUCGGUUGUAUGUGUUGAAUAUGAUAGAUGAAUAUUCGCUAAUAGACUAAAAUUUGUCAAAAUAUUUUUCAAUUGUGAGAUUGUCUAAUUUAGGGGGAGUUUGAAAUUACUUAAAAAAAAGGAAAAGAAAAACUCCUAUGUUUAAAAGAUGUGGAAAGAGUUACAUCCUAAAAAGAGUGUGAAAACUACCACCACAUGUAGGAAAGAGCUACCACCCCAGUCGUCCGGCAAGUGUGUGAAGCUACCACAUGAAGAUUAAAUUAGUUAACCGAAAAGGUUGGAAAAAAUUAAAUAUUUUAGAAUUUUCGGGUUGAUAAGGUGUUAGUUUGAAAAAGAUGCUCAAAAAGCCACCCCCCGGUAUCAUAUUAGUUAAAUCUCUAUUUUGAGCGGAUUACGACAAAUUGGUGUCAAUUUUGCCGAAUUUCUAAAAAUUAUUUUUCGUGAACCGUUACAUCUUGAUGAUUUUGAAACUCGAGGUCAUUUUUUAUUACAAAAUUGUGAUGUUUCGAUGUAUUUUGAAAUCUUAUUAUAUUUUACCUUCAUUAUAAUAAUUUUUGGAGUAAAGUCCUAAAUUUGUAUGAAAUUAAUUUAAGUUUAAAGGGUUUUUAAAUUUAAAUUUUCGAAAUAUGGAAAAGUGUACCGAUAUAAAAUCCCGUGUACCGGUACAAAUUAUUGUAGCCGCGGAAAUAAAACUGGUUACAGGGCUUUUAUUCUCCCUCAAAUCCAAACCAAACUUCGUUCUCUCUCUCUCUAAAAUCCCCAGGGGUCUCCCUCUUCCAGAUCCACUCGGUUUUCCCAAAGAUUUGUGAGUAUUUAGCUUGGAUUUAAUCAUUUCAUCGCGUUCUUGCCUAUGUUUCGAAAAUAUUCCGAGUUGAAACUAGAUCUCUGUUUUGAUUCGUUUUACCUGGAAUUUUUUGCUUCAGUUAAGUUUGUAUGCAUGUAUUCUUGCUUCUAGAACGUUUAGAUCAUGUCAUAAUGCGUUAUUUUUUGCUGAUCUAUGAUCCUUAUAUUAUAAUACAUGGAAUUUCGGGAUUUUUUUUGGAAUAUCAUUUUUUGAUGAAAUUUUUUGCAUGAAUGAGUUUGAAAUAGCGUUAGUAUGCAUUCUAAGAAUAUUAGAUAUAUUUUCGUUAUUUUUACAGAUUUUUUCAAAAUUUUCUUCAUGUAUGGCUCAUUUUAAUGUAGGAAAACGGCGUUCUCGCUGGUGGUUCUGCUUUUGGUGCUUAUGGCCGCUGGUCGUGGCCGUGGUGGUGGUCGAGGACGUCACGGGACAUCUAAGAGAACUCGUACUGCCGACGAGUCAUUAGGAUCCGAUCCAGAUUAUCAAGUAAGCUCACUUGAAGCUACUGAAGAAGCUGUUACUAGGGCUGCUAAAGGAAAAGGCCUAGCAGCAGAAUCCUCGCAAGGAGGUGAUUCUCGUGCACGUGAAAGGCGCUCCAAACGUGCUGCAGAGGCUUCAGCAGAGCGACGGCGGAUAUAUUCAAGCCGAUCAGUUCUAGCUGAGCGCUAUGUCAACUUUACUGUGCUGGUCAAGGAGGUACCAGAUUAUGGUCGAUUGCUGCAGAAAGUUCCUAUUGAGCCUGUUGGACGGGUUCCAGCUCGUGCCCCAUUCUGUGUGGAACUCAUUCGGGAGUUUUACAUGAACGGGAUGGUACUUGCAGAGGAUGAGGAGACUGGGACUUAUGUGUUUGAGACAUAUGUGCGUAAGCAGAAGAUUCAAGUCACUCCUUAUACUAUUGGAGAGCACUUAGCGAUGCAUGUUGAUAUCAUCGGCCUUCACUAUAUGACAGGUCUUUAUCAGUCUUCGACGCACCGGGAGACUGUUAUUCAAGCUAUAUGCAAAGAAGGCGUGAGGACAAAUCAUUCAUAUGUAGAAUCCAAGGAUUUACUACCUGAGUAUCAUCUACUCUCAUUGGUGAUGAGCUACAAUGUUCAACCAAUAAUUGGAACGAAAAGAAUUCGUUGGGAUCGUCUGGUGCUUCUUUAUCUUCUUGGACAUCCUGAGGAAGCAGAUGGGUUGACCAUCAAUAUUCCUUUUCUUAUGUGGCAAAGAAUGGCUCAUGUCAUACAGUCUCAGGUUCGACGUGAUCUACUUCCGUUUCCAUUGUUGAUCACGAGGAUUCUUCAAGAAUAAGGAGUUGACGUGUCAUGUGAGAAAUAUGACAUUAGACUUGGACCGAUUGAUGCUGUGACUUGGGCCAAGUCAAGAAGCACAUUGAAGACUUUUCAGCAAACUAAAGGAUCAUCCAGAGGUGCUUCUAGUUCUGCACCUACACCUCGAGCAGAGCAUGAGGGAUCUUCUAGCUCAGGAGGAGUGAUUACUGUAGAAUCAUUUCACCAUGAGGUGCGUUCUAUGAAGAAGAAAUUGGCUGAUCUUGCUAGAAAGGUGGAGAUGGGAAUGAAGAGAAUGAUGGAGAAAAUGGGAUGUAGGCAUAAUGAUAUUUUUUCUACUCAGCCUACCUACUCCACUUAUACUAGAUCGACUUCACGACAUCCACUCAUUCCACCGUCCGGUGAUGCUCCUGAGGCUGGGGGAUCUGGAGCUGGCGCAAGAGAUGAUGAUGAUGAUGACAACGACACUGAGUGAUUUCUUCCUCGAGCUCUGUUUUUCUACUUUGCUGUUUAGGAGGAUGUUUUAGUUUAGCUUUGCUUGCUUAUCUUACUUUUGCAUGUUUUUACUUUUGUUUUAGGUCUGUAACUAUGACUUGACUACUUCUUAUACUUUCUAGUUUGUUUUCUCUCUUUAUAUACUUCAUCUUUGGCAAUUUUUGACAAAAGGGGGAGAGCAAUGAUGAACAGGUGUUGAUCGAAGCAAAGGCGAAGCAAAGGCAAAGGCGAAGCAAAGGUGAAGCAAAGGUGAUCAAGGAACAAAGGGGGAGAAGGAGUGAAAUUUCGAGAAAAAGAAGAAAUAAAAAACUAUGGCCGAGAAGAAGAGUAAUUUGUAACUUUGUUUCAACUUUCUAUAUCUUUUUCGAUAAAUUGUUUUGCAAGAAAUCAAGACUUCAAGACUCCUUGUUGCGUCUAAGUCAUAAAGUCUGUUUUAGGAGUUUUUGAUGUACUUUUGCAUUUCAUAUUGUAUUUGGUUCAAUGUUUUGGUGAUGACAAUUGAACUUCGUUUUUUCUUUAAGAUGUAAUUUUUGAGUUUUUGUGUAUUUUGUCACGAAAUUGCCAAAGGGGGAGAUUGUUAAGUCUUGUGUGUUGGCAAGUUUCAUGAAGUAAAUCGGAGUCUUGAAGAAUCGGUGCGUAGCGUCGAAGAUUGAAGAAUUCAAGAUUUCGAAGAAAUUGGAAAAUAACUCACGAUGUGAAUCACGAUGCCCACGUAAAGUGUUAAUUCAUGUUAUGGUGAUUCAUACUUAAUUGUAGGCAUUAGAAUCAUAAUAUCAAUGUUUACUGGAUUAGAAAGUGCAUCGGAACUUUGCAAAACCCGAAACGGUGAAAAUUUGCAAAGUGUACCGGUACAGCAUCAGAAGUGUACCGGUACAAAAUGUGUACCGGUACAGCCAUCGACUUGUAACCGGUUUCACUGUUUCGUCAGUUUUUUCAUUCCGUCAUCGUGUAACCGGUGACAGCUUAAAGCAUACCGGUACACUGUGUAAAAUCGUGAAAAUUUUCUAAUCCGACUCUGAUUGAUUCUAAAGUCUAUAAAUAAGUUAUUGGGGUUCUCUAACACAUCAAGCAUCACGAAAAUACAUAUUUGAGAAACCCUAGAGGCUUGGAAUUCAUCAAAAACCUAUUUUCUUCAUAAAGCCUCUUUUAGGUCAAAUCGAGAUAUUGAAAUUGGUAAUUGGGUAUUGAGAAUUGGGUAUUGAGAAUGCAGCUACUAUGCCUGCACGAGAAUAAUAACCAACGGGACCGUCUUCUUGGGAGAUACUUUCUACAACCCAGUGAAGCCUACUAUCGGGGAGAUACUUUCUACGACCCGACGGGACCGUCUUCUUGGGAGAUACUCUCUACGAGCCAGUGAUGACUACUCCGAAGCUCAUCGCUCGAGGGGGAGCGACCGCCCUCAAGCACAAGGCUUAUAGGUGAGUAUGAUCCAAUCCACAACCAUGAGGAUAUCAUGUCCACUAAUGCCACAACACACUAAGUGUUCCAUUCUCUAGCAUUCAAUGCCACAAGGUGCUAUUUCAAUUAUUUGUCACAAUAUCACCAUGUUCUUUACCUCGGCUAGCUCAUGUCUUAAUUCAUACAUCUAUAGGGUUCACAAUUGUCCAAUGUCUCAUUACCAACUCAUAUAUAUCUUUGUACUAAAAGCAUGCAAGAAAUAUUCACAUAUUACCAUUUAACCCUACAAUGCAUAAAUCCUAUAUAUACACAUACAUGCUCAAAAGGUGUGUCAUGCCCCCUCCCCGAAACCCCUACCAAUUUGGCACGGUUCGGGCGUGGCGAACGGAUGCCGAACGGGCAGCAACUCCCCUGCCCGCCCAAGGCUCACAACCUGAUCAUGUACAAGAAUUUAUCCAGAAAAAUUAAAUUCAUACAUACACGAUCAACGGGGCACAAAUAGUGCCAAUAAUGAAGAGCAAGUAAUCCACAAGAUACACAAGUGAAAUAAAGAGAGAGAGAACUAACUAUUACAUUAAUUGCAUCCUUUAUACAAUUACAUUUUCUUUCCCAAAAUGAAUACAUGUUCAUCAAGUACAUAGCUCUCCAAAGUCCUCACCUACAUGAAUCUCUCUCAAAUACAUAGGUGCUAAUGCAAAAAGAAAGCUACUACAUACUACUGCUCGGGCGCGAUGCCCUUGCCGCGGUCCUCGCCCGGCGAACUGGUACUAGGCCCUACAACAAAGUGGGGUGAGAAUUAUCUUCCAUAGUUCCCAGUGUGUUCGGCCGCCGACUCCGCCGAUCUCCCCACUAGGUCCGAGUGGGCAAAAGCAAGUAGAUAGAUAGAUAGAUAUCUGUCACGCCCCGGGGCCAAUUUUAAAAGCUUUUUUUUUAGAAAAAUUCAUUAUCAUUUCGAAAACAGAGUUGCGGAAGACGUGCCAAUUUUUUUUUCUUUUUCCAACCUGGCCCACGAGACGCACAGACCCGCCACAAAUACAAAGUUCCCCUGUCUACUCGGACAGAGUCUUCUUUAUAUUUGCACGGCGUACCAACGAUACAACAGGAUCUCAACCACAACCUACAUUUAUCAAUCAACAACCAAUUCAUAAUAUGCAUUUCCAUACAUCUAUCAAUCUUUAAGAUGAUGCAUGCCUCUAAGCACUCCUUAGGCGCUGGAUGAUGCAAUGCACAGUACAACAAUCAUCCUAUUUAAAAGUGCUCCUCACCCAGAAGCUUUGUUUUUGAAAUCUAUUUCAGUCAUUCAUGAAAACCAUUCGAAAAUCUUUUUAAAACUGUUUUCCACUCGGAAACUCUAUUUUGAAAAUCGACUACCUCGAGGGGUAGAAAAUCACAAUGUAUAAGGACAUAAAUGCAUGAACUGAAUAACUAUAAAACCAGAUCAACAAAUCUACAAUCUAAAAUCACAUGCAUAAGGAAAACAUCACAGAUCCACUGAAGCCAAAUCACCAACAUUCAAACAAACAUGAGGAUCAUCUAACUGAACCAUUUAUUAUUAAAACUACUAAGUGCUGAAAUGAAAGUAACCAGGGUGACGAUUGCUAUACCAGACUAGCUAGAUCAUCCUCCCGUCGAGCCCAAAAUCUAACUCCUCGUCCAUGUCACCUGGGGGGAAUGUGGGGUGAGAAACCGCAACCAUGGUUUCUCAGUGGGUACGACAGAGCCACGAAGGCAAGCCGUAAUCACCGAAAACCAAAGGAGAUAGAUAAACAAAUAUAUAUGCUGAUAUGAAACAGAACUACAGAUAUGAGCAUAAUGUGAUAUAAGAACAACUACAGUAGUAAUAGAAACAGGAUAAUAACUUAGCAAGAACGAAACUACUACUGUAACCAAAAACUCAACUGAUCGGAUGCCUCAAGGGUAAAUAGUCCAAACCGAACCCAAUCUGAUGCUGCUAUAUUGGUCCGCAGACCUCAAACGUUACCUGUCACAGAGCAGACACUGCCAACUUAUUCAUGCGUCACCGACGACCUAUCCGGAUACGUACACCCCUUGGUUGGUGGCCAAACCAACCUGGUGUCUAGAAUACACAGUGCUGUCACUAAAUCAUGCUGAUAUGCUUAAAACAAAAAUCGGCAAAAAGAGAUCGGUGCCUUGGCCGAAGCUAGAUGCAAGGGCGUACAACGCCGAACCACGAUCUACCAGAUCGAAACACACGACAAAAGAGUCGAUGUGUUGUCUGGACCCAAGGUCCACAGGGAUACUGAAAUACAAAUGCAACCUGCUCUACAUGUCUAUCCACAACUAUCCAAAUGUAAUCAAUGAGAUACGAUAAACAAACGAUAAACAAUCAACUGACAUGUAGAGACUAUGAUACUAAUAUGAAAGAACAGAGGAAGGGUGAAACGAUCUCACCGACUACCAGCUCGAAGCACCCACCUGUACUAGUGUCGCACCUGUCUCCCAACUGUACACGAUCGUCAACCGGACCUACGAAGGUCCACUAGGUCAGUAACCAACCUACUAACCCAAAGUACGAGACUCACAAACCCCCACACAAGUCCCCGAAUCGGUUUCCCAAAAUCGAUCACCGUAACUCACCGGAAGUCUCGAAAACCACACCGGAACUCGAUCGGGACCCAGUAAGUGCACCGAAACUCACCAACUCGUAUCACGAUUCACCCGCUGCCACAAAUCACUCCGAUUUGGAUGUUUUGGUAGCAAACAUAAGGUAACACUACUAUACAAUUAUCGCUGGAUAAUUGUACAAAUCCGGGUUCCCGGAAGUGUCUAUUUCGACACCGGAACCCACCGUUGCUCACCCGUCAUCAUCGAACCCCCUAUAUGAUGAUGGUGACCAGCCGACAAGGCUCAGCGAUAACUCACAGGGCAACCAAACCACGUCGAAAGAAAUCCGAACCGAAACCGCAUUCUUUCGGCGAAUUUUGCUGAAAAACGCACCGAAAUUGAUUUUUCGAUUUCCGCAAAGACUACCGGAUCAUGGACAACCAGUCCAGAGGUCACCACAUACGCCUACACACUACCCACAGUAGCCACUAGGUGCACAAUUGCAUAAAAGCCUCUAUUUACAUAAAAUCUAUUAUUUUAUGUAAAUCGGGAGACUUCUUUGGCUCGUUCUCACAAACCAAGGACUUCUAAGUUCCGCUGAGACACGUACUGACAGGUCUCGACGUGCUGGAGGCCGUGCUCAUGAUCCAGAGUGCAACAGCUCACUGUGGGAGGCGUGGAAGCAAUCCGAAAAUUCUGUGAACAGCGCGCAGUUGGGGAAAAACGCACCAAACAGAACGAUAUGACAUCCGCUGAUCCAAAAUAAGGUGAGCACUGUGAUCAGCACUGAUCCACGAUCACCGUGCUCACCUCCAGAGGCAUCGGAACAGCCUCAGAUCAUAGUAAAAAUGCGCAUAAUCCUAAAACAGCAGCCAAAAAGGCUUUAACGGAGCGACACCUCCGAAACAGCGGAAAGGAGUCUCCCCGACAGAAACUAAGGUGAGCACGAUGAUCAGCAAUUUGCCACGAUCAUCGUGCUCCCUUCCGUAGAGAUCAGGGAGGCUCAGGAAGCUCGGAACAGCAAACUGCCAAGAUGAGCCCUAUUUCGGGCUUGGCCGGAGCAAGCUUGCUCCGGCCAGCUUCCGGCGGCACGGCGGCGCACGCGAGGGCCAGGGAUGGGUGCGGGGGAGGUGAGGAAUACGAGGCUCACCUCAGACGGCGGUUGGAAACGGCGGCGGCUACGGUGGAACCAACCAAGCACGCACGAGAUCCGGCUCAGGUUCCAGAGCAGCUGCGGCCCCGACGGCGGCCGGGGUAGGUAGGAGACAUCGGCGGUGGGUUUCCAGAGGCCGGAGGAGGAGGAAGGAGGCGGCGGGCGACAGCGGCGGCGGCUCGCGGCUCGGGUGUGGCCGCCCGAGCUUGGCUCGGUCUGCAGGCUGGGGCGGCGGCGCCUAAGGCGCGCGGCGGCGGCGACGACUUGCUGGGGCGGCAACGUCCGACUGGGAGGGUUGCCGAGGCUUCGAAGAAGGCGGCAGAGGUGGUCCAAGGGGCGGCGGUGCGGAGGCUAACCUCUGAAGCUCGGCUCAGCCCGAGCAGGUCUGGGCAGCUGUGGUUGACAGAGGUGGCGGCGCCGGCCCGCAGAGGCGGCGGCGACCGGCCGGGGAGGGUCGCCGGGCUCCGGGGACGACGGCACGGCUGAGGCAACAUGGCGGCAGCGCGGAGGAGGGCUGCCAAGUCUGCUCGGCCCGAGCAGUUCCGGGGUGGCCGCGCUCGGUCAAGGUGGCAGCGGCGGCGCUCGGGGCGCCGGUGGCCGGCGGGGCAGACUCCGACGAGGUCGGGACGACGCCGGCGACGAACCCAGAGGCAAUGCAGCCUCGGCCAAGCUCUAACCCAAGAGAAAGAGAGAGAGAGGGAUGGAGAGAGAGAUGGAUGGUGGCUUGGCGGCGAUCGGGGCUCAGCCGGCGGCGGCCGGGGGUGCGCGGCUAGGGCAGGGGAGAAAGGUGAAGGUGGCAGGGGUGACUAGUGUCACGCCCCGGGACCGGCGGAGGCCCUCCCAGUUAGCGUGCCCAGACCCGCCAUAUGUCUACACAUAUAAGGCGUCCACAAUAAAAGCGGAAGUAAAAGUAAGAAAUAGAACAAUAGAGUAAAUAGCAACUAAUGAUAUCAGAGCGAGUAAAGUUCUAUCGUCUAAACCAGAGUAAGAGAACCAUAACUAGACAAUAACAGUAGCCAAAAAGUAAUACAAUAACUGUCUCAAGGGUACACAAAAGGGGUGGUCUCUAGUACACUGGUACAGCUCUCAACCUCUCCAAAAAUAAAAACAUCGAGAGGUAGACCACCUAGCGACCCGUCUCUCGCAGAAGAGCUAGCUCGAAGCCACGCCCUUCCCUCGGUCCCUAGCCUCUCUCGGCGUGGAAGGCUCUGAAAGAAAACAUAAAACAGAGGGCGUGAGAACUAUAAUUUAUAGUUUCCAGUGGGCAAUUACUGACCUCAGCUCAAUGCACCACUAGGCCCCAAACGAAAAGGGUAAGUCCAAGAUAGUAAUAACAAUAAACAUAAUAGUAACAACAGUAAGAAAGCAUAAUUGAAAUGCUAACCCAUAUAUCUCAAGUAAGCAUGAUGCCAUGGUGAUGUACAUCUACGCUAUCAUAAGGUAAUAUGUCCAAUGCAUACUAAUAUGUCUCAACAUAAUAAACAAGUAAACCUCACGAUGCAAUAUGUCAAUGCAUAAGGGUAAACUCUAUCCAAACAACCGAAUAUACUAUGAUGCAAUGAUGAAACCGGCAAGUAUACUAAAUGCACCAAUGCUGUGACGCACUGGACCUGUGCAAAUUGCGAGGUUCGAGUGUUUGGACAGUGUCCCGAGUUUUUUCAGACUUUCUGGUGGGUCGUUAAUAGUGUUCCGACCUAUGGCUCGCAUCCCGAGUGUUGUAGUAUUUUAUGUAGCGCUAAGGUCACUAAAGAGUUGGACUUAGGCUACCCUCGGAUUGCACUCUGCACAAGGUGUACCGGUACACUCUUGAUGGCUGUACCGGUACACACUUUGUACCGGUACACCCUUGAUGGUUGUACCGGUACACUUGUGGCGAAUCUCGAACCCGAGCCUCGGGUUUGCAUUUUCGUAGGAUGUGUACCGGUACACUUUCCCGUGUACCGGUACACUUUGGCAGAAUCUGAGCAGUUUGAACUGCAGGGGGUUUUUCGCAUUUGUGGCAUCUCUAUUAGUACCCCCACGCCCUUAGGGCUUUCUCCUGAGCUUGCCACAGCAGGGAUAGAGGUAAGGGAGCUCUCCUUGAUUCUCCUUUGAAUUUCUUUGGUUUUUGGUGGGAUUUAAAGAGAUUAAAGAUUCUUUUUUACUUGUUGGAGGCAUUUCCACCAUUGUUGAAGCUUGGAGCUUGGGUUUGGAGCAAAGUUGAGGGAAGAUCCUUGGACUUGGAGAGUUUAGAGCUUAGAUUGAAGCUUCUAAGAGGUAAUCCACUUAUUCUCUCCCUUUAAAUUGGAUUUUUAUUGAUGGUUUUGAGAUGAAACCCUAGUUUUGAGACUUAGGGCUUGUUUUUGGGUAUUUUGAACCUAGGACUUAUGGGGCCAAAUUAGUUGGUUUAGAACCUUCCUUGGGCUUGGAUUGGAAGGAUUCUAGCUCCCUUUCGGAGCUUAGGAGAGGAUUUCUACUCUUGAGGUGAGUUUUGGCCCUUUUUGCUUCUAGGUUAAUGUUUGAUAUUAUAUGAUGAUCGUAAUGCCCGUGUAUCUUGUCGCUCAAUACUUUUAGGGUAUUUUGAGACUCGGGGACAACUUCGUUCGGCGAAACGAGGCGCUACGCGACGGUUUGGUGGGUUUGACCUAGCCACACAAUGAGAAAUUCUCAUUUGUGCUUAAUUAAGUACCGUUAAAUGAAAAAGCAUGCAUAUUCUUGUUAUAUGUAUUUAUUGUGAAUUUUAGAAUGCUCAAAAGGCCUAUGUUGUAUAUGAUGAAAUUUUGGACCUCUAUGGAAUAGAGAGUAACUUGGUAGGCCUAUGGUUGCAUUUAGCGUUCAAUUUGAGACUUGGUUUCAUGCUUCUAUAGUGUAAAUGAGCUUUGAUUCAUGCAUUUANCUAAUAUGUCUCAACAUAAUAAACAAGUAAACCUCACGAUGAAAUAUGUCAAUGCAUAAGGAUAAACUCUAUCCAAACAACCGAAUAUACUAUGAUGCAAUGAUGAAACCGGCAAGUAUACUAAAUGCACCAAUGCUAUAUAAUGAGUGUGUCCAAGUAAUCCAACUACUAAUCCUAUCUAGUAGUGAUUGUUCAUAUACAACACCGUGUCGAUUUCCAUUUCUAUUUAAGGACCUACCCAAGGUAGUCCAGCUUGUGCCGCCUAAGUGCCUGUGGUAGCCCAACAUCCUUACUCUUAGAAUGUGUCUGUCCCACUCGACCCCGUAGGCUUCUCAAUACCGCACGAGCGAACGUAGUCGCGUAGGCUAACUCCGGAGCGCCGGCUUGUAGGGAGCGACCCUCACAAGCAUGUGCGAAUGAGCACAAAUGGCAAACAAGUAUAAUCCAAGUCUCAAGUAUCCGAUCCUCAUGUCUCAAACAUGGAAAGCUACUAGUAACCCAACGGUCUAUGUCACAAUGUGAUAGCUCAACUCUUACUUGCUUAGUGCCCCUUUAUGACACUUAAGCUUCACAACCAAUUAAGGUCAAUUCAUGUUCUAUGUUUCAAGUAUGACAUUAUACCAACGUUCAUUAUAGCCCGGGGCCCAAUGCCUCUUUAUGACAUUGGCCCGAAAUCUCAAAUGGCCUAUGCCCCCAAAGCCUCUCUAGGCUUCUAAAAUUCCUAAUGUCAUAAUUGGCAUAUAGGUUAAAUGCAUGAAAGUAAUGUCCAUUUUCAUCAUAGGAAUCAAAGUUCCAAGUCCCAACUUGAAUGCUAUGUUCCACAUGUAUGCAUCCUACCACAUAGGAGUCCAAAAAUUCACUAUACAUAAUGUAUGCAUGUUAAGCAUUCUAAAAUUCAUAUUAAAUACAUUUAACAUGGAAAUGCAUGAGUUUCUACUUUACGAAACAUAUUUUGCCAAAUAUGAGCAUUUCUCAUAUCAUAGGCUAGGUCAAACCCACCGAACCGUCGCGUGCUCCUUCGAUUCGCCGAACGGAGUUGUCCACGAGCCUCAAGAUAUCCUAAAAGUAAUCAGUGAAGAGAUACGAGGGCAUUACGACCAACCAUAAGAUCAAGCAUUAGCCUAGAAGCAAAAAGGGCCAAAACUCACCUCAAGAGAAGAAAUCUCUUCCAAAGCUCCAAAAGAGAGCUAGAACCCUUCCAAUCCAAGCCCAAGGAAGGUUCUAAACCAAUUAAUCUAGCCUCAAAAGCCCUAGAUCAAAAAGCCCCAAAAUCAACCCUAAAUCUCAUUUCUAGGGUUUCAUCUACAAAAACUAUCAAAACAAGAUCUAGAGGAGGAAAAUGAGCAACAAAUCUCCUUAGAAGCUCCAAUCCAAGCUCAAAGGGUGAAGAUCUUCUCCUUUGCAAGCACCAAGUCCAAGCCUUCAAGCACCAACAAGGUGGGAGGAGGAAGAAAGGCAAAAGGGAUGCUCAAAGCCCAAGCUAGAUCCUUCUCCUCUUCUGCUCCUUCCUCUUCUUCUCCUUUUUCACUCUCUAGCAAGGAUGUGGGGAGAGUGUGAGGAGGGAAAAUGAGGAGAAGAGGGGGUGGAUUGGUCAUAUAGACCAUCUAUUGUAACAAAAUCCAGCUAGGCCCUCCAAAAAUCCAAUAUUACCACAGCCCGGUCUGGGCAGUUUUCGCCCAGAGGGACCGGUCUCUCCCCAGCAGGGACCGGUCUCUCGCUGCGAACCCGAAAAACCAACGUUUGGGAACCGGUCUCUCCCUGUGCGGGACCGGUUGCCUUGCCGGCUGCGCACACUGUUCACUGGGGGGACCGGUCUCUCAUAUCAGGGACCGGUCCCCGAGAGUAAAAACUCUCAGGACUCAUCCAGAACUCAGAUUUUCGAACUUUUCAGGUCGGAAAACAUUCUACAACCCUCCACCAAAUGUGGAAAAGCUCGAAAUACAUCAAAACACUCGAACCUCGCAAUUUGCAAAGGUCCAGUGUGUUACAACUAGCGUAGCUGGGGGCUGGCUAGGGUUAGGGUUAGAUGGAAGAAACCCUAAAAUACAUAUAUAUCAUGGUGCAACUUCGCGAGUUAGCCCCCCUUAACUGUAGUAUAUAAUAAAAGUCCCUCCCAGUAUGUGUAAUACGCGCGAAUAGCCCUCCACGUGCAAUCUCACGUGAAACGGUACAUAAAAUAUUGCAACUUUUGCGAAAAUACCAUUUUGCCCUCACUGACGUCAACUCGGUUAUCGUGCAAUCUCCGUAGAUCCGUCCGUCAAAUUUGCGAACGGAUCGCAAAGUGUGAUCAGCACGACAGAGACAACAAAGCUAUGAUUUCGUUUCAUCUCGAUCGCUCUCGGAUUUGCGACGAAAUCCGUUCCAACUCUCCAACGGAAGAAACUAUGCACAAAUACAUAUAAAACAUGUAUUUUCGAAUUUUCUCAAAAUCCGUGCACCAAACUCAAAAUCCGUCAGCGCCAUUAGUUCCAGAAUAGUUGAACCGGUCGAAACGAGCUAUUGGACUUCUAUGAACGGUGCCCGAUACGUGCCAGAAGCUAACUUCCUAUCGUGACUUCUCCGGAAAAUUGAGUUACUAUUCACUUUAAGUGAAACUUGGAAAUCGUGUAGAAUCUCAGUUCUAGCUCGGUUUCUCCCGAAACUUGAUGAGUGCUUUUAUAAUUAAAUUACACACAAAAAUAUCGUCAACUGGAAGUUUAGCUACAUUGCCAAAAUCUCGGUCCUUACAAUAUCAAAGCUGUAAAUGACAUAAUAAGUAAACUAUGCUACUAUGCUCAAAGUCAUGUAUUAUGCAUGCAUGUAUCAUAUAGUGAAAUGUCAACUACUAUACUGUCACGCCCCGGGACCGAUACCAAUUUGGGCCGGCCCGAGCUCGUCGAACAGACGCCGAACGGACAGAGUUUUCCUUAUCCGCCCAAGGCUCAUCACAUGUACAUUUUCAAGUAUAGAGAAAGCACAAGCGGAUACAUACAAAAACGGCUUACACGAGGGUAAGCAAUAGCCAUUAGUGAAAGAAAGGAAAACUAAACAUCUAUACAAGUACUAUGAUUCACUUUUGAUCAUAUACAUUGCAUUCAUUUCUUACAUUUUGGAUUCUUUGCAUUUCAUUACAUUACAUCGUUGGCAUCAUUUCUUUCAUACAUCACAUUUACCUCAAAAUGAGCUUUACAUUCUUUUCUUUACCUCAUUAGUCAUCAAAUACAAAAGAUGAACAUAGGGUAGCUACUAACAAAAUGUAACCCAACUCCGGUGGCCUCUGACUACGGUGCGAUACCUUUACCGCGGUCGCUCGCCGGCUCGCUCGGUCCCGGCUCUGUGGAAUAGUGGGGUGAGAACUACAACAAAGUUCCCAGUGGGUUCGGCCCCAACAUCACCGACUUUCCCACUAGGACUAAUUCAGGCAUAAUAGAAAGGAUAAGCAGAAAUAGUAACCAAUCUAUAACAUGAUGCUAAUAUGCCUGAACAAUAAGCAGGACGUAUGCUCAACAUGAAACUUAUGCAGAUUAUGCAAGUUCUUUCAUUCUUUACACAUUACACUUUGUUCUUUGUUCUUUAUUUUUUAAUCUCAAAGCUAACCCGGGGGUUUCGCCACAUUAACUUGUUUCACAUUAAGUCCAUCAUCGCAGGAACUCACCAGCUAGGACCGUCCUUCGGGUUUACUCCAACCCGUGAUGCAUAACUCCGGAGCGCAUCGCCCGAGGGGGAGCGACUGCCCUCGAGCACGGAACUCAUAGCAAGUAUGAUCGAAUCCUUAACUCAAAGAAUUAUAAGUUCAAUCUUGACUUUACACUAACUCUAGUGUUCUUCACAUCACUUUGUGUUGCCACUCUAGCAAUCAUUGCUCUUUGCAUUUCUUUUACUUUUGCUAACUCUAGCAAUCACAUUCUUAUCAUUACUUUACUUUAGGCUAUCUUUAGCUUUCACAUUCUUUAACUUUACACGUUCUUUGUGCCCCACUUUACAUUAGCUUUACUUAUUGAUAUCAUUCUUUACAUCACUUUGACUCUUUGCUUCACACUAACUCUAGUGUCACUUUAACUUUACAUUAUUUAGAUGCCACUCGAUCCAUGUCAUAGUGUCACUCUGUUCUUUUGCCUCACUUGGGUACUCACAUUUUCUCUCAUGCAUAUAUAUAGGGUUUUAACAUUCAUAAGGUUCUCAACCAUCACAUUAAGCAAGUUGUACUCACAAUCAUGCAUCAUCACAUUUUUAUCAUUACAUUACCUUAAAGCAUGCACUAAUUAUAUAACAUAUGCUUAUUAUUGAAUAACAAUUAGGCAUAGAUUUGAGAAGUUCAACGAGUUUUGGAAGCACACCCACCUUGUUAAGUCUAAUCUAGGUGCUCGAUGUUCUUGAGAUUUUUAGAACCUCGUUCCUCCUGCGGACCAAAACAAGAACUUAGGCCAUUUUUGUGCCAUAUUAUUAAAUUCGGCGCUUUCGUAAUGAUAAUGAAGGCCCAACGUGGUCGGAAAUACCCAAUUAGGUUUUGAAGGUCAUUUCAUUUUAGAAAUCCCCUAUGAGCAAACCAAUUUGGUGCCCCUAGCCUCCAAUACAUUGAUACAAAAUUCUAGGGUUUGAUCUCAUGGGAAUGAAAAUAGUAGCUUCAAGUUACUCUAAAGAUUUGCAUCUUAAACCAUCCGUUUAGUCUUCCAAACUAGUUGUGGAUUCACAUGAGAGGUGUUAAGCUACCUCAAGUUCAAUCAUUUCUGGGCUUGAUCUCAAAAGAGCAAAGGAAAAGCUUCAAUACUCAAAUUUCCAUAAAUCCAUUUUAAGCUUAUCCAAACCUUGAUUUGGUAUUACCAUUGAUUAGAGGGUCAAGUUACUGUAACUCCAUUUUUUGAGCUAGAGAGGAGCGGAGAGGAGUUUCGUUCAUUCUCUUCUUCUUCUUCCUUUUUCUUCUCUUUCUUUUUCGUCCUUUUUCCUUGUCUUACUUCUUCUCUUCUUGUUUCUAGGAGAGAUGAGAGAGAAGAGAGUGUGAGAGGGUGAGUGAAAUGAAGAAGAAUAUUCUUUGCCUCUACUAGCAUAUUGGGUUGCCAAAAUGCAUAUACCCUCAACUUUUCCUUUAAUACAACUGCCCGAACUGGGCGUUCGGCGCAGCAGGAGACAGUCUCCUUCAGGACCGGUUACGAAGUGUUCCAUCGUCAGACAGAGCUGCCGCGAAUGCGGUGCAACGGGGGCGGGGGGGGGGGAUCUCUCUUUUGGUGGGACGAUCUCUCGGUGACGGUCUAUCAUGGCAAGACGGUUCCGAGAGCUAAUUUUCAGGACUUAGCGAUUUUUUCGGCUGUUACUCAUGUAUCAUACACAAGUUCUGGGGACCGGUCUUCUACCACUAGACUGGCUCCCUGAAAGAGCUCAAAAUCUGCUUUUCCAGAAUUGGUCCAUUUAGCUCUCGACAAAAACCUGCCGUAAACUCACUAGUGAUUCAUGUUUACCUUCGGGACUUUUCAAAUGGGUUGUAUCAUCUGAACGUUUGGUCAAUUUGACUAAAGUUCGAUAUUUUAUUUUUCCGAAUUUUCACUUAUUGGUUUAUAUUAUAUUCUCCACCCUUAAAAUAAUUUCGUUCCGCGAUAAUUACGCUUACCUAAUCUACGUCGGAUUUCAAAUAGAUGUGGUUACUGCUCGCCGCUAUGGUUUCUCGAGCUCCCAAAGUGGCUUCUCGCGCGCGUGGUUGUCUACACUGACCUUCACAUACGGAAAUCUUGCGAGAAUUCGAAUCUUUUUAAAUUGUCUCUGAGUCGGAUGCAUCACUGUUGUAUCCUCAUAAGACAUUCCCUCUACGUAGCUUACGGAUAUCUUAAUACAUGUGUCGAGUUUUCGAUAUUACUUUCGGAGAUUGGAACAUGAAACACGUGUGAACUCCGCGAGUCUCUUGGUGGUAGUGCGAGCUUGUAGCUAAUCGCACCCACACGCUUCUUAAUAUCUCAAUGUGGUCGAUCAUACUGGGAGAUUAUUUCCCGGCGGACCAAAUUUUAUCUCGCAUCGGCGGAUACUCUAAGGAAUACACUGUCUCCAACCGCGAACUCUAAUCCUUUCUUUUUGGUCUUGCAUAACUCUUUUGCCAGAUUGCGUCCGCAUACUAUCGUGACUGGCAAGGCCGAAAUUUCUCCGUCGCGCCUCCCGCAAUUAUAUCCGGAGACAAUGGACGCUCUUCGUCGCCAUGUCGUUCCAAUGGAUAGGAAGAACGACACUUGCGUUCCAUACAAGGCUGUCGACGAAGCCAAUCGCCAUAUGGUAUUCUGAAUAGACUGUUAUUUAUACGGCGAACUCCGCCAAAUCGCCACAAGAAUCAUUCCAAGACCGCCUUUAUAUCUAGCACACAACAGUCAAAGGUAAAUCCGCUCAAGGAUUUGUAUGUCCGCUCCGAUGUUCCAUCAUCUCUGAGGAUGGAACGCUUGUGCUAAGAAUCGAAGCGUGUGACCUAGGCUCUAAUGACAAUAAUUUCAAAGUGGGACAUUUCUGAUGACUGGCGUUCGAAUUACACAAUCUUUUAUAACUGGAACCCCAUGAAGUCUCACAACCUCGUCGAGAUAAACUUGGCUAGUUUGGUCUCACGACACGUUUCGUAGUAUGGUGAUUUGGCAAAGAAGGUGAAUCGAUUUUGUCAAUCAAUCCCUUAUCACCAGUAUUGCAUCGUGUCCCUUGUAGAUCGAGGCAAACUGUAAUAAAUCAUCUGCUAUAUCGUUUGCAUUCCAAACGUUGGUAUUGACAGACUUUGUAGCUUUCCCGCACCGAGAAAUCGGGUUUGCUUUCACUGUUUGGCAGUUUAGACAUUUGCCCGCCACGGAAUUCGUCAAUUAUCUCUUUCAUGCCGGACACCAAUAAUGAUCCUUCUAAGUCUUCGUUUGUACAUUAUUAGUGCGCCGGGGUGGAUAGCUAUAAGGGGAGUUGGUGACGCCUCUUGCAUAAUAUCGCCCUUCGUAUACUCUACAUCUUUAGCACAUUCACCUAUCGAUUUAGAAAUCGAAGUGCGGCCGUCGGCUCACGCCAGAAUAUCUUAGGCUUUCCGCUAUCAGAAUCACCUUCGGAAACUUUUGGAGUAUAAGGAUCGAAGUUGUAAGCUAUUUGAUUCGCUCAAAAUUGGGUCGGAAUUGCACAAAGUAUGCACAUAGCUGAGCCAGUCCUCCGAGCGUACCACUUCAACCCAAGGCUUAGCAUUCUUCUUAUGUAAUACGGUUGGAGGCGUGAUGCACGGUCGCUAAUUGUCCGCGUUUUAUUUCGUAUAGUUGGUUCUACUUAGAGCAUUAGGCCGAACAGGCUUCUCCCGGUGGUGGUUAUAUAUAGUGACAUCGAGUCCUUCACCAACUCUAACCAGCCGGUUGUCGCAAUAUUCAACUCGUUUCUGGGUGAACAAGUACUUUUGAGACUUUUGUGAUCCGUUGUAGAUCACAGAUGACUCACCAUAUAAGAUGGUCCACUUAUAGCGCGAAAUCACGUAGCUUAAUUGAGUCAGAUCAGGUGUUUUUCUCAUACAUCUUUAACUGGGCGCGUGAUAAGCAAUGAUCUCGCCCAUUUUGCAUUAACACACACCCAGAGAACCAACGUACGGAGGCAUCAAUAUUACAUACAAAAGUCUCUUCCCGGCAGUUGGCCGGCAGCACUGGAGGGGCUGAUGUCAAUCUGUUCUAUUAACAUCCUUGAAGCUAUCGAUCGCAUCGUCGCUCCAAAAACAUACUUUACUCUUUAUGCGUAAGGCGCUUUCAGUUAGCGGAAGUGUGUUAUUUGGCAAACCCGUCCAGAACCGCCGAUUAGUUAGCCGCAUGUCCAGCAAUAACUUGCGUUUACCUCCAGUUACAUUUUGGGAGCAGGUGUCCAUCCUUGCAUCGCUUUAUUCUUCGGGCUCUACCGACACUUCCGUUCGCAAAUGUUGCCUCCUUAGCCCAAAAAGUCGACUUCUUAUAAUUGGCAUAGAGUUCUCUUCUGAGUAUUUGCAGACGACAGCUCUAGUGCUCUGUCGUGCUCUCUUCGACUCUUUGAAUAGACCAUAUCGUAUCUAUAAACACAAGAACAUCAAGUCAAGCAAUGGUCUGAGACUUGUCACGCGCGGGUACACAAGGAAGAAUAGUCCGGCACUUGGUGCACAGACCGCCAUCUGCAGUAUUAUAAGGCGAUUACAAAGCACAAGUUGAUAGGAGUAAAAACAUAUAUAAUUAAGCCUAUCUUGAUUAUCAGGACAUAGUAAAAGUCACAAAGAACUUAUUAUAACAGAGAACAAUGCUUAUAUACUCCAUAAUCUCAACAAAAACGCAGUAUAAUACUAUAGUGACUGUCCAAAAGUACUAUUACACAGGGGUAAACAAAAGAUAGGUACAACAGAGGUCCGCUCUCUUAUACAUAGGGACAUCACAGUCGCGCCGUUAUUCAGCCGAUUAGUAGCAAGGUGAUAUCGGAUAGCACGGCUUAGUAGUCCUAGUUAGGCAGCGAAUCCAUUGACGAUCUAGCCUUCUGUAACAUGAGUCGGUAAAAACCAACACCAAGGCGUGAGAACUAUUAACGAUGUUCCCAGUGGGGUAAGCCGCCGGCUCGGCGAUAUUACACAGAUAGGUAUCAUGAAUUGUUACUAAAUGAAAAGCGAAACAGUUAAUUGCAUGAUAUAGAAUACGCAAUGCUAAAGGUUGGAGAUGUAAUGCACAAAUGUAAUCGAUGAUUUCCAGUUAAUGAAUCGAUCUGUUCUGAAAUGAUAGAAGUAUAGCACUAUUGAUAAGCACAAAUAUAAGCAUAAAUGUGUAAGUAACUACUGUUACACUGUAACGUUAUCAUUCAUUAUGUCCAUUUCUUAGCACUUUCUUUUUCAUUCACAGGGAACUACCAGAGCAAUCUAGCUUUGGCGCCGGAGCUAAUGGCCCCGUGUAGUUUCACUCCCCAUGGCAAUCCACUUCUGACCCAAUUCCCGCUAAACUGGUUCGAGCAAACUGCUCGCGAUAGGCCAACUCCGAGAAAGGGGCGGCUUGUAGGGAGCUACCCUCACAAGGUUGUGCGGAAUAAGCCGAUGGCUAAGCAAAUGACAAAGUUCAUUAUCCAAUGUCAAAUUUUUAUUUUUUAUUGCAAAGUUAUACCCUCGAUCCUCUUCGAUUGUAUUACACAAAUAAUAACAAAAAGUAGUAUCCUAGUUGUCAAUCAUCAUAGCAUUUAAUCUUUCACUGUAUGGCAUCUAUCAAUAUAGGGUAGUUCUGAUGAGCACGAUUGUAGUGGAUCUCUAUAUUAGGUAGUCGAAGAGAAGUGUUCAUUGUUCUCUACUUAUAAGUUGCAUUCUCACUUGUUAUAUAGUCAUAUCAACUGUAUUGAUAUAAAAGGAAUCUUUCAAUGUAUAUAAUGUUCUCUAUAGAUAGUAUAACUAUAAUGAUUCCUUGGUUGUUCACUGAACUAAAAGGGUACUUUAUGCAUGAAUAUAAAUAUUUAUGCAUGGAACGACUUUCAUUUACAUAUGAUAAACGUCAGUGUAUGAUGACGGAAUUUGCCGACCCCUUAAAUCACAUAGUAAUUAUCUAGGCCACUUCUAUAAUCAUAAGUAGAUACAUAGGGGAGACAUUCACUUGGCUCUGGUUAGGUCAAACCAACCUAGUAUUAAGCUCCAAAUCAGUCCCAAGAAAGUAAAUCAAGAUCGGCUCCACUAGGUCGUUUACAAUCCUGCUGAAAUGAAACACAGAGUUGAUUGAAACGAGUCACUAAAGUCUAACUUUCGGCCAGAAAUCUCGAUAAAUACAAAGUGGAAGCUCAAUUCGCUUGUUUGGUCAGUUCAUACUUACGUUAGCUUCUCAAAGGCCUUCCGAAGCAACAUCGAUUAGGGCAGGUCCAAGGGUCAUAAUGCCCUUAGACUGCUGAAACAGAAUACAUCUCGAAACAACACCAAAUGCUCACAUACAAAGCUUUUAUAAUCGAAUUCCUACUAUAUCAGUUGUAGAACUGAAAAUAUCUAGGUACUCAAGUUUAGAACACCUUUCCGAACCACCUCCCAAAAUACGAAUAGACCUCAAUAAUAUCUGGAAGAUGCUGAUCAGAAGAGUAAUCCCAAAUGCUCAAAAGUAGCGGCCACUAACUCGCGUUUAAUUACCGAAAUUAGCUAAUAAUGAACUAUUUUAUUGGUACAAGCUUCAACAUAGCUUAUCCUGAUCUAAGGGUUCAUUCUAUCAGCUAGUUAUAUUUUCACAUUGCUGAAAUCUCAGAUUAUCAAGACAGGGAAGCAACAAUCUUGAAAUUCAAUACUAUAAUUCAUGAUACUCGAUUCGAUCUAAUAGAACUUCGAUAAUGGUAAUAGAUGAGUACGUUACCUCUAUUAAGCUUCUCCACCAGUUGACAACUGGUUCCAGAGCUCGGUAAACCCGUCCAAAAUACUUUCACACUCCACGAAGGAAUCAAGCAACACUCCCAAACAGCGAAGGGCGAGCUCGGCGACGACAACGGUGCAAAACGGCGACUUCUUUGUAGAGAGAGAAAAAUCUUAGAGAGAGAGAGAGAAGAAGAUGGUAGAGGCUUUCUCUGGUCUCCAGCAACAUCCACAGAGCUCCUGGGGUCGAGCUGGGUCAAGUAGAUAGGUAUCAAGAUGUGAAAUUACCGAAAUACCCAAGCUGCCACGUUUCUGCAUUGUGUACCGGUACAAGCUAAUGGCUGUACCGGUACAGCAAGCAGAAAAAGCUGAUUUUCGCCGGUUCAAUGCACUUUCUUGUUUCCGACAUUCCGAUCACUCUCAAACUUAUGUGUAAACAUCUUUAAACCCUUUUGAACAUGUGGGAGGGUUCCACAUAUCAUUCCUCACACUCGAAUUUCGCAAUUUGCAAAAAUUCAGUGUAUUACAAGACUCGAUUCAUCAAGUCCAUAAAUGCUGCCGGGGCAUUAGUAAGCCCAAACGGCAUUACCAUGAACUCAUAAUGGCCAUACCACGUACGGUACGCCGUUUUGCGCACAUCCUUCGGUCUAAUUUUUAGUUGAUGAUACCCCGACUGGAGAUCAAUCUUUGAAUACACUUUGGACCCUUGCAACUAAUCGAAUAAAUCGUCAAUCCUCGGCAACGGGUACUUGUUCUUUAUCGUUACUUUAUUCAACUCACGAUAGUCUACGCAGAGUCGAAGUGUGCCAUCUUUCUUUUUCACAAAUAGCACCGGAGCUCCCCAUGGUGACACGUUCGGCCUCACAAAGCCUUUAUCGAGCAAGUCUUGUAGUUGGCCUUUCAACUCCUUUAGCUCCACUGGUGCCAUUCUGUAUGGAGCCUUCGAAACCGGUUCCGUCCUGGAAAUCAAGUCAAUGACGAACUCAACUUUCCGGUCCGGUGGCAAUCUCGGUAACUCCGCCGGAAACACAUCCGGAAACUCGCACGCAACCCGGAUACUUCCAAGAUCAGGGUGCUCCCCACGGCCAUCAACCAUGGUUGCCAAAUAGGCCUUACAUCCUCCUUUAAUCAUUCUUUUGGCCCUCACUGACGAUAUAGUCGCCGCGAAUCGUGCGCCCUUGCAUGCCCGAUACACCAUCUCCUCUUGAUUAGGCUCACGAAAAGUGAUAACCUUGCUUUCACAAUCUAUGACCGCAUAAUCUUUGGAGAGCCAAUUGGUCUCCAAAAUGACAUCAAAGCCCCACAUUUGAUCUAGCACGAGCAGAUCUAUAGGCAUAAUCCAGUCGCCGAUCCGCACCGGAACCUCCAAGCACUCAUCAUAAACACGAAACGAGUGCUCGGGACCAUUUACCCACCAAUAGUCCUCAUUGUGCGUUUUCUCUAUACCAUGCGUCUUUGCAAAUGAUACAGCUAUAAAUGAACGCGAUGCACCAGUAUCGAACAAUGUUCUAGCUUUAGUGCCAUUAAUCCAAAUUAUACCUGCCACGACAUCGUCGGGUGCUGCAGGUUGCUGCUCCUCCACCUGAGCGGCAAAGACUCGGCCGCUAGGCGCUCUUGAUCCCUCCUGCUGACGCGGUGAUGACGCGCGCCCAGCCGACAUCGCUGGUGGUAACCCCGCAAGCUGUCUCGGGGUAGACGGUGCUGAUGCCGCCGUCGGCGCAGACGACGUCCAGCUUGGGCAAUCCCGGAUAAGAUGUCCCGGUUGGCCACACUUGAAACACUUGCCGUCCCGCUGCGGGCAAGUCGACACCUUGUGCUCUGCGCCACAUAUGAUGCAUCGAGGAGGUCUCCAAUUCCUCGACUGCUGUCGGGGAUACCGAGGGGGUUUCUUAGCAUUUGGCCGGCCCUCGGCACCGCCCACCGUUCGCUUCUUGCCUUUGUCCUUCGACUCGGCCAUAGCUUCUCUUUCUUCACGCACAUGGGCGCUACCGUGUUCCGCCCACAAUGCUCUAUCAAAGACCUCCGCAAAGGUCGACAACUUUAGGAUUUGCACCUUCUCAUAAAUUCGGGGCUAGAGUCCUCGUAAGAACCAAUCCGCCCGGUCCCGAUCAUCACGAACAACGUCGGGAACACAGUCAAUAAUAUGGGAGAACUCUUGCUCGUACUCCCCCACUGAUCGAUCACCUUGUCUCAACUUGCGGAACUUCUCUUGUAGCCUCCGCUUCGUUGUCUCGGGGAAGUAGUUUGCGAACACCGCUCUCUUGAACUCUUCCCAUAGCAUAAGCGGAAGGUCGAUUGGACGAUCCCGCUUCACUCGCUUCCACCACACCAUCGCCGCCUUCUCAAGACAAUGGGUGGCAAGGUACACUUUGUCUUCUCCAAGGUGUUGAGAUCCUCGAAGAGUGUCUCCAUCGAGUCGAUCCACGACUCCACUACUGCUGGCUCCACCAAACCGCCCUCAAAGAUAGGUGGGUCAAAUUUCUUGAACUGAAUGAGAGCCGCCAACGUGCACUCUCGCUCCGCAUCGACUGCCACACUAUCGGGACUUGAAGUUCCCGACCCGGCCGGUACUACCGUAACUGGAGCAGCCGCCGCUGCCGCCGCUCCUUCGCCUAUGCUCGGCAAUACCACAGGGGGCGCGACAUGCUCGCCACCCGCCUGGGCCGCCGCCGCCUGCUGACGCUCCAAAGUCUCCUGGAGCCGCUGAAUCUGCUCCCCUUGGCGUUGAACAGACUCCGCUUGUUGCCGCACUACGCCAAUAAGCGCGGCCAUUUGCUCCCUAAGCUCUCCGUCGCCACUCGCUCCGGAUUGCUCGGGCACCGCAUUCGCUUCCUCCGGCAUCGACCUUGUCUGCGAUCGACGUCGAGGUGCCAUUGCUUCCUGAAAAGAAGCAACUCGCAUUAGUCACUUGACCAACAUUACUUGACCAUACCCAAUUAGGCGAAAGCAACAUACACAUUCAUCCUUGCCUCAAGCGUCAUGUCGUCGGCCGCCCGACACAACACUAGAAGUAGAGGAUAAACGAAAAUUAAACUUAGCCUCUAAUCACAUUAGAGACGUCCCAACUUAACCCAAUCACAUGCUUUCGCUACUUUAAUUCCACGUCGCUCACGUUUUCUAGAUCCUUAUGGUCUUCCAAUCCUAAGGGUCUCUAGGUCCAUUCCUAUUCUUUCACUAUUGGCUCUGAUACCACGAUAUCUGUCACGCCCCGGGACCGAUACCAAUUUGGGCCGGCCCGAGCUCGUCGAACAGACGCCGAACGGACAGAGUUUUCCUUAUCCGCCCAAGGCUCAUCACAUGUACAUUUUCAAGUAUAGAGAAAGCACAAGCGGAUACAUACAAAAACGGCUUACACGAGGGUAAGCAAUAGCCAUUAGUGAAAGAAAGGAAAACUAAACAUCUACACAAGUACUAUGAUUCACUUUUGAUCAUAUACAUUGCAUUCAUUUCUUACAUUUUGGAUUCUUUGCAUUUCAUUACAUUACAUCGUUGGCAUCAUUUCUUUCAUACAUCACAUUUACCUCAAAAUGAGCUUUACAUUCUUUUCUUUACCUCACUAGUCAUCAAAUACAAAAGAUGAACAUAGGGUAGCUACUAACAAAAUGUAACCCAACUCCGGUGGCCUCUAACUACGGUGCGAUAAAUUUACCGCGGUCGCUCGCCGGCUCGCUCGGUCCCGGCACUGUGGAAUAGUGGGGUGAGAACUACAACAAAGUUUCCAGUGGGUUCGGUCCCAACAUCUCCGACUUUUCCACUAGGACUAACUCAGGCAUAAUAGAAAGGAUAAGCAGAAAUACCAAUCUAUAACAUGAUGCUAAUAUGCCUGAACAAUAAGCAGGACGUAUGCUCAACAUAAAACUUAUGAAGAUUAUGCAAGUUCUUUCAUUCUUUACACAUUACACUUUGUUCUUUGUUCUUUAUUCUUUAAUCUCAAGGCUAACCCGGGGGUUUCGCCACAUUAACUUGCUUCACAUUAAGUCCAUCAUCGCAGGAACUCACCAGCUAGGACCGUCCUUCGGGUUUACUCCAACCCGUGAUGCAUAACUCCGGAGCACAUCGCCCGAGGGGGAGCGACCGCCCUCGAGCACAGAACUCAUAGCAAGUAUGAUCGAAUCCUUAACUUGAAGGAUUAUAAGUUCAAUCUUGACUUACACUAACUCUAGUGUUCUUCACAUCACUUUGUGUUGCCACUCUAGCAAUCAUUGCUCUUUGCAUUUCUUUUACUUUUGCUAACUCUAGCAAUCACAUUCUUAUCAUUACUUUACUUUAGGCUAUCUUUAGCUUUCACAUUCUUUAACUUUACACGUUCUUUGUGCCCCACUUUACAUUAGCUUUACUCAUUGAUAUCAUUCUUUACAUCACUUUGACUCUUUGCUUCACACUAACUCUAGUGUCACUUUAACUUUACAUUAUUUAGAUGCCACUCGAUCUAUGUCAUAGUGUCACUCUGUUCUUUUGCCUCACUUGGAUACUCACAUUUUCUCUCAUGCAUACAUAUAGGGUUUUAACAUUCAUAAGGUUCUCAACCAUCACAUUAAGCAAGUUGUACUCACAAUCAUGCAUUAUCACAUUUUUAUCAUUACAUUACCCUAAAAUGCAUACAACAAUUAUAUAACAUAUGCUCAAUUGAAUGACACAUUAGGCAUAGAGAGAAGUUCAACGAGUUUGGAAGCACCACCCACCUUGUAGGUCUAUCUAGGUGCUCCGAUGAUUUUCUUGAGAUUUUUAGACUCCUCGUUCCUCACCUGCGGCAAAACGAAGCCCACUUAGGCCAUUUUGCCCACAUCUUUACAUCGGCUUUUCGUAAUGCUAAUCCGAGCGCACCAACGCGUCGGAAAUACCCCCAAUUUGGUUUUUGAAGGGUCAAUUUCAUUUAGAAAUCCCCAUGAGCAAAAGCCCCAAUUUGAUGCCCUAGCUCCAAUACAUAUACAAAACCUAGAGUUUGAUCUCAUUGGGAAGCAAAAGUAGCUUCAAUAUACUCUAAAGAGUUCAUCUAAACCAUUCCUAGCUCAUUCCAAACCCUAGUUUGGAUUUCACCAUGAGAGGUGAUGAAGCUCAUCUCAAGCUUCAUCAUUUUUAUGGCCUUGAUCUCAAAAGAAGCAAAGGAAAAGCUUCAAAUACUCAAAUGGUUUCAUAAAACCCAUUUUAAGCUUAAUCCAAACCCGAGAUUAGGUUCUACCAUGAUUAGGGUUCAAAGCUUACCUUGUAAGCUCCUCUUUUCCGAGCUAGAGAGGAAGGAGAGGGAGUUUCUUCACUUCCUCUUCUUCUUCUCCUUUUUUGUCUUCUAGAGAGAGAGAGAGAAGAGAGUGUGAGAGGGUGAGGAAAUGAGAGAAAUAUCUCAUUUGCCCUCCUACAUAGCUAUUGGGUUGCCAAAAUGCAAAUAAACCCCUCAACUUUCACUUUAAUACACUGCCCGAACUGGGCUGUUCGCGCAGGCAGGCACCGGACUCUCCUUCAGGGACCGGUUCCCGAAGGUCGUCCCAGCGCAGCCAGAGCUGCCGCGCGCGGUGCAACCGGUCUCUCUUUGGGGGACCGGUCUCUCGGGGACCGGUCUCUCAGGCAGGGACCGGUUCCCGAGUGCUAAUUUCUCAGGACUUAGCCGAUUUUUCGGCUGUCUCAUAUCAUACACGUUCGGGGACCGAUCUCUCCCACCAGGGACCGGUCCCCGAGAGCUCAAAAUCUGCAGUUUUGUAGAAUUUGAUCCUAUAGCUCUCGAAAACCUCCCGUAACUCACUUUUGAUCAUUUUAACACCUUCGGACUUUCCGAAGUGUACCAUCCUCGCACUUUGGUUUAAUUUGACUAAAGUUCGAUAUUUAUUUUUCGAAUUUUCGGUAUAUUACAUAUACUACCAUGUCCAACCAUAAUGUCCAAUAAGCAAUGUUCAAUUAAUGAUGCUAUACUCUUGUUCAAUCAAUCAUUGGCGAUUCACUUGGGUCGCCCACGACUCACCUCAAACCUCGUAUGGUAAGGAGACGCACCUAGCUCUCAAACCCGGGGCCGUCUGCAGGACACCAACUCGUCCCUCUCGCACCAAGCUCCGGAGUGCACGAAGACUUGGGUGGAGCGACCAUCACAAGUAUAAACAGACUGUGAGUAUGAUCAAUCCUCUCAACUCGAGGAUACCCUAUCAACUCUAGGGUUACAAGUCACUCGGGAAUCUACCUAUCCCAAUGUCUAAAUACUAUGUUUGGCCUCAUCAUGUGUUUAUGCAACAAGUCAUUUUCUAGGGAAUCCACCUAUCCCUAAGUUCACAUGCCUCUAGUGUUAUUUACACUAAGUCAUAUACUAUUCAUCAUGUCUUUACAUUCAUCGGGUUCAUCUCUCUUCCUCAGCACUAUAGGAUUCAAAUGUCAAGACCCAAUCCUUAUCUAGCCGAAAUCAUGCAUUUCUAUUCAUACAUCGAUGUCAAUAGCAUGCAUAAGGAAUGGAAAUACGAUGCAAUCCUACAAUGCAUAUGAAAGAGAUGCAAAUCAUAAAUGCUAAGACAUAGAAAGGAGCCCGGUUGCUUCGGUAUGACACCACCCACCUUUUGAUGAUGUGGAGGGUUCGGAAACGCUAUUCGGCGCACUUUACGACGAGGUCUCCACCACCUAGGUAGAAAUGAAGCUUAUUCAAUGUUGUUUCAUCCUUAUCUCUUUAUUCAUUCGACGAAUCGUAAUUCCGACUUCGCCAACGCGCUUAAACACCCACCAAUUAGGUUUGGAUGCUAUCAAAUGAGAUCAAACUCCUCAAUCUAUGAAAACCCCAAUUUGGGUACCCUAGGGUUAGCAUUAUGCAAAAGCACUAUGAAACCCUAGCCUCUAGAUCUAAUCCACCAUUAAUGGUGCUAGAGGUCCAUUUGACCUCAUUUCCAAAGCUCAAAAUCCAAAACCCUAGGUUUUACCAUGUUAGGGUUUAGAGCUUACCUCUAGUGCUAGCUCCAAAGGGAAGAAAAGAGGGAGAUGGAGGUGUCCAAGGCCUUCUCCUUGAUUUCCUUCUUCUUCUUCACCUUUCUCUCAUUCUUCUUCUUCUUCUUCUUCUUCUUCUCCUCCUACUUUUCCUUUCUAGAGAGAGAGAGAGGGAAAUAAGAGAGUGUGUGAGGGUGAGGGUGGAAAUCAGAGAGGGAGAGAGAGCCCUUUGCUCUCUAUACUCUCUAACUAAGGCAUAAUUGCAGCCAAGUCUCUCAACUUUAUCUUUUUCAAACUGCUCUGCCUGGGCAGUUUUUGCGCGGAGGGACCGGUCCCUCAAUAGGAGGACCGGUCCCCUAGAGCCUUCAGCCAGAUUACGCGUACGGAAACUAGUCCCUCUGGCCUGGGGACCGUUUGCAUUGGGCGCCUGCCGCAACCACCAGCUACGGGGAUCGGUCCCUCCCACCAGGGACCGGUCCCCGAGAGCAGUUUUGCGCAGACCUCCCCUCUGCCAGAAUUUCUGCUUAUGGGAACCGGUCCCCACCGCCAGGGACCGAUCCCGGAGAGCAGAAUCUGCCAAGUGCAGAUUUUGCACUAUUUGCUCUCGUGGACUCGACUCCAAAGUAUUUUUUGGGCUUUUGACAUUUUCGGCUUUUCCGAAGGGUACCCACUCGACAUAUAGUCAAUCUUGGACGAAGUCCAACUCUCGGAUUUCGAGAAUUCACUUCCUUACAUCCUCCUCUCCUUAAAAGAGUUUCGUCCUCGAAACUGAUUCAACUUAAAUUUAAACUUAGUUUCCAUACCUUAUUCCUCAAACAAGUGAGGAUGAUGUUUUCUCAUCAGCUCCUCGAGUUCCCAGGUGGCUUCACGAUCGUUGUGAUUGCUCCACUGGAUCUUCACGUAGGGAAUCUCGCGAUUUCACCGCUUUCCCCCGACCCACGGCAAACGAAGCCGAAAUAGGGUUUUUCCUCGAUAUCUUGGCGUAGACUUAUCAGAAUCCCAAUCCGAGUCUCCCAACGCGUUAGUUUACACUCCAAUUAGGGCUACAAGAGAUAAAACUCAAGUUAGAUCUCAAGCUUAGCAAAACCCUAAUUUGACCCUAGGGUUUCUAAUCCACUAAAUACCCCAAAUCUCAUGGAGAUUGAUAGCUUGACUUAGCAUUUCAUCUUUUAGAAACCACAACUAGAAAAGAUAUAACCAAACCCUAACUCAUAUUCACAAUAAGUCACCUCUAGCUCAAGCUUUCUCUUCACUCCUUGCACAAGAGGUAGCUUCACUUCCAACAAGUGUUCUUCUUCUUCUUCUUCUCCACCAAACCUUUCUCUUGGAGUAAACCCUAGAGAAAGAAAGAGGGAAAGAGAGAGAGGAAAGUGUGAGAAGCUUCUAGAGAGAGAAAAAGCUUUUCUCUUUAGUUAGUGGUGUGAGGGAAAUGAGGGCUAAAAUCACAUAGCACCCACUUAUACACACUCAUACAUGCACAAUUGCAUCUAACCCCCUCACACAACAAAAGCUGACCAUCGCUGGUGUAAGGAAGUGAAUUCUCGAAAUCCGAGACUUGAACUUCGCUCAAAAUCGACUAAUUGCUGAGUGGGUAUGCUUUGAAAAAGCCGAAGAAGUCAAAAACACCAAAAGUGCAUUGCAACGGACCCGCGAGAGCAAGCUGUGCAGAAAUCUGCACUUUUGCAGAUUUGGCUCUCGGGGACCAGUCCCUGUCGGGAGGGACCGGUCCCCGUAAGCAUUGUGUGCGGCAGAGAAGGUCUACGCGCAAGUAUUGCUCUCGGGGACCGGUCCCUGGCGGGAGAGACCGGUCCCCGUACGCGUAGAAACUGGCAGAGAGCCUCUGCCCGCAAUGACUGCUCUCGGGGACCGGUCCCUCUAGGGACAGACCGGUCCCCGAGCACGAAAAUUGCCCAGGUUGGGCAGUGCACAGAGUGCAAAGUUGAGGGGGUUUUUGGCUAUUAUUGCAUUAGUGGGGGUAUAGAGGGGAGAUUACACACUCUCUCUCUCAUUUUCCCUCCCAAACCACACACCCUCUCUCUCUCUCUCUCUAAGCUGUCUCUCCCUCUCUCUUGAGGUGAAGAAGGAGAAGAAGGAAAGGAAGGAGAAGAAGGUGGAAAAGAAGGGGAAGCAAGCUAGGAGAAGGACCUUGGUCAUCUUCUUCUCUCCUUCUUACCCUUGGAGCAAGCUUGGGAGGUAAGCUACGAACCCCUCUCAUGGUAGCUUGCUAGGGUUUGGGUUUUUAGCUCUAGGAAUGGUUUGAUUGAAUCACUAGCACACCUAAUGUAGGUUUAAUGUUAGAAUCUAGAGCUUUGAUGAGGUGUAACACCCUGGACCUUUGCAAAUUGCGAGGUUCGAGUGUUUGGAUGUAUUUCGAGCUUUUCCACACUUGGUGGAAGGUUGUAGAAUAUUUUUCGACCUAAAAAGUUUGAAAACCUGAGUUUUGGUUUGGUCCUGAGAGUUUUUACUCUCGGGGACCGGUUCCUGAAAGGAGAGACCGGUCCCCCAGUGAGCAGUGUUGCGGCAGCCUUGAGGCAACCGGUCCCUGGCAGGCGAGACCAGUCCCCGAGCGCGCCUACGCAGUGAGAGACCGGUCCCGCGCAGGGAGAGACCGGUUCCCGAACAUUGGUUUUUCGGGUUCGCAGCGAGAGACCGGUCCCUGCUGGGGAGAGACCAGUCCCUCUGGGCGAAAACUGCCCAGUUCGGGCAGAUGCAAUAUUCGAUUUUUGAGGGGCCUCACUGGAUUUUGUUAUACUAGAUGGGCUUAUUAGCCAUUUUCCUCUCUUUUCUCUCUCAUUUCCUCAUUCUCACCCUCUCCCUACACCUUCUAGAGAGAGAAGAAGGAGAAAGAGGAGAAGAAGAAGAGGAGCUUGCUUGAGGGAGCUUGAAGCUCAACCCCUUCCUCCCCUUUCCACCUUUGCAAGGCUUGGAGCUUGCUUGUAGAGCUUGGUGGUGGACCAAUCUUCAACUCUAGGAGAUUUGGAGCUUGUUUGAAGGCAUCUUGGGAGGUUAGUACUUGGAUUCUACCCUUUGAUCCUUGUUUUAGUAGAUUUUUACCUUUGGAACCCUAGAACGGAGACUUAGGGUUUGAUUUGGGCAUUUUUGAUCUAGGGCUUUUGGGGCUAAAUUAGUUGCUUUAGAACCUUCCAUUUGGUUGGAUUGGAAGGGUUCUAGCUCUCUUUUGGAGCUUUGGAAGAGAUUUCUUCCCUUGAGGUGAGUUUUAGCCCUUUUGUCUUGUUGGUUAAUAUUUGAUCUUAUAGUUGAUCGUAAUGCCCGUUUAUUUCUUCGCUCAAUACUUUUAGGGUAUUUUGACACUCGUGGACAACUCCGUUCGGUGAAACGAGGCCCUACGCGACGGUUCAGUGGGUUUGACCUAGCCACACAAUGAGAAAUUCUCAUUUGUGAUGAAUUAAGUAUCGUUAAUUAAAAAGGCAUGCAUAUUCUUGUUAUAUGUAUUUAUUGUGAAUUUUAGAAUGCUUAAAAUGCCCAUAUUGCAUAUAGUAAAAUUUUAGACCUCUAUGUAGUAGAGAGUUGCUUGAGAGCUUUGGUUUGCAUUUGGCAUUCUAUACGAGACUUGGUUUCAUACUUCUAUAGCGUAAAUGGGCCUUGAUUCAUGCAUUUAAACUUAGAUUUAAUUGUGACAUGAAAGAUGACAAAUCGCCAUAUAGAGGUAUUGAACUAGAAUGAAUGCGAAUUAGAGAGCUAAUGUCAUCAAGCGGCAUCGAACUCAGGACAUGUGUGAACCUGGUGGUUAGAGCCAUUGCGGGACUUGGCUUAUGAUGAACAUCAGAUUGCCUAAGUGUCAUCAAGAGGCACUAGGCGCAGUGAGUGUUUGGAACCUUGCUUUGUGACUUAAACUAGAUCUUCGGGAUGCUAAUAACGAUACCAUGUUAGAGACACGAGGAUUGGAUACUUGAGACUUGGACUAUGCUUGCUUGCCAUUUGUGCUCAUUCGCACAUGCUUGUGAGGGUCGCUCCCUACAAGCCGGCACUCCGGAGUUGGCCUACGCGACUUAUGUUCGCUCGUGCGGUAUUGAGAAGCCUACGGGGUCGAGUGGGACAGACACAUUCCAAGAGUAGGGAUGUUGGGCUACCACAGGCACUUAGGCGACACAAGCUAGACUACCUUGGGUAGGUCCUUAAUUGGAAAUGGAAACCGACACAGUAUUGAGUGUGUGACAAUCACUACUAGAUAGAGAGUAAUAGUUGGAUUACUUGGGUUUGCUUCUAGCAUAGUGUUGGACACAUGAGUAUGCAUAUAUACAUGUAGUAUGCUAGGAGACGUCGUUUAUUGCCUUCUUACACGCAUUGUAGUUAUGAUAAAGUAUCACUUUCAUAACUUCAUAAAGUAUCUCAUGAUAUCCCAUGUGGCCAUGUAGAGGCAUAGCAUUCAUGACAAGGUAAAGGUGCAUUAUAUAAAUGCCAUGUUUAAUUGCAAUGCAUUAGUGUAGCUUUUAAUUAUGCUUUCAUAUUUGCAAUUUAUUUAUUGUUGUCACUAUCUGGGACUUACCCUUUUCUUUUGGGGCCUAGUGGUGCAUUGAGCUGAGGUCAGUAAUUGCCCACUGGGAACUAUAAAUUAUAGUUCUCACGCCCUCUGUUUUAUAUUUUCUUUCAGAGCCUUCCACGCCAGGAGAGUGUAGGGACCGUGGGAAGGGCGUCGCUUCGAGUUAGCCCUUCAACCAGAGACGAGUUUAGGUGGUCUACCUCUGACGUAUUUCUUUUUGGAGAGGUUGAGAGCUGUACCAGUGUACUAGAGACCACCCUUUUGUGUACCUUUGAGACAGAUAUUGUACCACGUUAUGGCUACUUUUAUUGUUUAGAUAUGUUUCUUUUACUCUGGUUUAGAUAAUAGAACUUUACUUGCUCUGAUAUCAUUAGUUGCUAUUCAUUCUAUUUGUUCUAUCUCUUGCUUUUACUUUCGCUUUUAUUGUAGACGCCUUAUAUGUGUAGCAUAUGGCGGGUCUGGGCACGCUGCCAGGAGGGCCUCCGCCGGUCCCGGGGCGUGACAUGAGGUAUAUUGCAUAGAUGCAAACCUAGGGCUCCAAAUUGGAGUUUUGCCUAAUAGUGAGGUUUGACCUCAAUUGAUAGCAUCUAAACCUAAUUGCUAGGUGUCUAAACGCGUUGGCGAAGAUGGAUUGACGAUUCGUCGAGUCGUUGAAAAGUUAUCGGCAAAACAAGACCGAUUGAGCUUCAUUUCCACCUCGAAGGCCGAGACGACAUCGUAGUAAGUGUCGAGAAGUGUUCUUAGAGCCUCGACAUCGUCGAAAGGUGGGUGGUGUCACCCGAAGCAAUCGGGUUCCUCUCUAUGUCUUAGUACACCAUGAUUUCGCAUCUCUUGCAUGUUGCAUUAUAGGAUUGCAUUAUUUUUCAUUCCUUAUGCUUUCUAAUUGAUAUCAUAGUGUGAGUUGAAUGCUUGCUAUAACGGAUAGAUAAGGAUUGAGUCUUGACAUUGAAUCCUAUAGUGCCGAGGAAAAGAGAUGAACUCGAUGGUUACCUAGUGACAUAAUGAGUGGCAUGUGAUUGACAACUGAACAGAAUGAGUGGCAUAUAAUGUAGUGUACAAUGACACUAGUGACAUAUGAACUUAGGGAUAGGUGGACUCCCUAGUGAUGACUCGUUGAACAAAGAACAUAGUGUAGUUAAACACUUGUAUAUGAAUAUUGGGAUAGGUGGAUUCCCGAGUGACUACUAGCCCUAGCGGAUAGGAUAUCCUCGAGUUGAGAGGAUGGAUCAUACUCACAGUCUGUUUAUACUUGUGGUGGUCGCGCCACACAAGUCGUCGUGCACUCCGGAGUUUGGCGUGAGAGGGGCAGAGUUGAUGUACGAAGUUCCAACCAGGAACACAUUUCAAUCAAAGAUUGCAUAAGGAAGUAUCAAAAAUAUAAUCUACUUGUUAUUACAAGCAUUCACAUUCACUAGAUACAUUUUACAUCACAAUUACAUAUUACAUUUAACUUCCAAAUACAAUUAUUCUUUUAUUACAAAUUAUUGCAAUCUUAUUUCUUUCAUUUUUUUACAUCCCUAAGUAGCCGACUCAGGGUACCGCUAUCUCUGGUCUCGGUGGUAGGGCGCUAACUACGACGCUACGCCCUCGCCUUCGCCGCCGCGCCGCUCACAUGUGAAUCUGUAACACCCCAAAAUAACGUGGGGUGAGAACCAACUCUAUGGUUCCUAGUGGGAACUGCCACCCAAGAGAAAAGCUCAACCAAUAGGUCUAAUGAGGCACUACAACAAGUUAGUCCAAUAAUAUAAUAUAGAUAUUUAUACUUUUACCCAAUAUUAAACUACAUGUCAUGCCUCGCGAUAUGCAAUAUGAAACCGUGCAACUAUACAAGUAGAAUGAAUAAUUUUAUCUUGUAUCAUGCUAUCCAUAGCUUUUUCAUAAUUUAUACAUCUUAUCACUUUACAUCAUUGGUUAUUUGCUCCUAAGGUUUUCCUCUACCCUAGCCAAGCUAACCACCCGACUCGGUCUCGAGUCAAUCAUCUGCGGAAUACUGCAUGCAUCCAGGCUCGAGGUGAAGGACGUCUCACAUGCACCUCAGCCAUAAAUCCACUCAACUGGAAUACCAAAUCCAUAGCUCAUAAUGCAUGCUUUCACACAUUCACUUUGGCCUUUACCCAAUUAUCUCGGUUAACACUUGUUAACCCCAAACUCACAAUCCAUAUAUCCCGUCUACCGGGGGAGGCACUUGGCACUACCGCCCGAGGAAUCUUCGCCGGGGUACUUUCCCCGUGGUGUCUACACUCCAGAGUACACCGCUUGAGGAGGAGCUACCUCUCUCAAGCCGGAACCAAUGUGAGUAUAAUCCAAUUCCCAAUUCGGGAAUAUAUAGCCAUAAUGACAUAACCAGGUCCUACCUUGUCACAUAUGCCACUCUCUAGGCCACACUUGCCAUAACAUAGGUUUACUUGACUCUAGAUUUAAUUCACAAUCUAUGUUCACGACCCAAGGUUAAUGCCACUCGUCUAGAUUUAAUUACCUCUAGGUUGAUUCUCCACCUAUGUUCUUUAACACUAGGUUCAUGUCCGACCUAUGUUCUUUAACACUAGGUUCAAUGCCACAUGACGUCCAACCUAUGUUUAUUCAUAUUAGGUUCAAUGCUACUUGAUGUCCAAUCUAUGUUUAUUCACACUAGGUUCCAUAUCAUCCAUGUUCAACCUAUGUUCAUUCACACUAGGUUAAAUGCCACUCGAUCUAAUAUAUAGAUGUCCAAUGUCGAGGUCUCUACUCUAGAGUUAUCGAUUCAAUUCAUGCAUCCUCUUACAAUGCUAAUCAUGUAUCAUGCAAUUAUCUAGCAUUUACAUAACAUACUUAUCAUGCGUUCGUUACAACUUAUCAUUAUGCAUUACAACUAGCAUGUUCUCUACUUUACGUUAACAUGCAAAUGUCAUUUACCUCAUGCUUUUAACUAGCAUCAUUUAUAUUACAUCAUCAUGCAUUCUAGCAUUUCUAUAUUACAUCAUUAGCAUGCAUUCCCUUUAACAUUUACUACAUGCAUCCACUUAGCAUUAUUACAUUAGUAUUUCUAUACAUGCAACAUGACUAACAUAUGUCAUUUACUUUAUGCUUUUCACUUAUCAUUAUUUACACUAUUUCAUUAUGCAUUACUUAGCAUUCUCACAUUAUGACCAUAUGCAUUAUUUGGAAGCCUAACAUAGCAUUCAUUUCAUACAUUUAUAUAUUCUAUCACUAGCUACCAUAGUAUGCAUCAAUGAUAAACACUCAUCUUAGACAUACAGGCGACCUAGUCGCUUCGGUAAACACAACCUACCUCAAAUCGCUUUCCGAUUACUUGUCGACACUUGCAAUCGGCCUCCCGCGGCACCCGUGUCCGGUUCGGCCCGAUUUUGCUAAUACUCACCAACCGUGCGUCGAAUCGUGGCUCCGAAAAUUAUAGGUCUUUGGUUAUGUGCCAUGGUGCUCCAAAUCCGUUUUCAUGAUUUUACGAUGUCGCCUCGGCUCUCCAGGCGGAAACGAAGCUAAAUAGUCCGUUUCUUCAAUAUCUUCGCACCGGCUCGACGAAUCGCCGAACCGACUUCGCCAACGCGUUCGUAUACCUAGCAAUUAGGUUUACGGAGGGUCAAAUUAGAUCAAACCCUUAUAUUUUACAAAACUCCAUUCGGAGCUCUAGCAUGCAAUUAACUUCCAAAUAAUUCAAAUUAAAUAGAGAAAACAUGUUUAGAACACUCUAGAUACUACUAGAACAUCAUUCAUGGAGGAUUUGAACAAAAUCCCAAACUCUUACCAAAACGUGAACGCCGCGACGAAAGCACGCCGCUCCAACGGGCGCACGAAAGCUCGAUCCGUCGCCUCCAACGUGUUCGCAAGCAUCUUCUCCACCAACCCUCAAAUUUUUAGAGAGAGAUUUAGAGAGAUGAGAGAGAUCUUUAGAGAGAGAAAGGAGAGAGUUCCCACGCGUGCAUGUGUGUGUCGUGUGUAUGGUCGGCUGAGGAAGAAGAAGAGGUCAACACUUCUCUUUUGUCAACACCACAGCACUAUUCAUUUCGGGCAGCUUGAAAUCUGAUAUCUUUCGUCGGAGCUCCCUGAAUAUCCGUUUGAGCUCAAAUUUGACAGUCAUGUUUGGUUUUACUUAAUGAGUCCAAAGAAAUUUUAAUAUUUUAGUUUCGACCCCGUUUGGUCACCGAAAACUGUACCGAACUGUAAUCUUUAUCAGAUAGCUGUCGAAUUUUAUUUUCCACCUUCUGGGUGUCAGAAUGAUAUGAAACUUUAAAUCUGGUCUCAUAAAAAUAAUUCUGACUUAUCCUCCAGUUUUCAUAAUUUUCUAAAACUGUGCAUUUUUUGCUAAUUUAUCUGUCCCGUUUCCAACAGAAAAUUCUAAAUUUUCUAUUUUCAUUCCGAUUUCAGCACAAGUCACUUCUGACUUAUGUUUUACUCCUCUAAAUCCAAUAAAAAUAGUAUCUCACACUAUUUUUAUUUAUUUUUAUUUUUAUACCAAAAUCUAGUAUGUUACAUUCUCCACCCCUUAAAAGAAUUUCGUCCGCGAAAUUCAAACCACACAUCAAUUCAGCUCCGUGAGCAAUUGAGGGUACCAACUUUUUCUCCCACUCCAAAGCGGCUUCACACAUUCGUGGUUCCAGAAGCGGCUUAUACUGAAGGACGUGGGUUUAAUCCUAAACACAUUUGCAAAGUGUGAUACAAAAGUGCAUCACGGGUCUUGCAAGUCAUAAUGGCAGUGCAAGUCGGUACUCGAUGACUCUAUGUGCUCCAACACCAUUCGCCAUUGGGUACACAAGGAACUCUUCUUUGCACUUAUCUUCCCUUCAAGGAAUACAUUCUGAUUCGAUCACCGACAUUGCUUAGAGGCAAUAUCACUAGUGCAUCGCUCUGUCGUGAGUGCUCUAAUUUCGCACUGAGCCUUAACUUUAACGCGAGAUGGCCCACUUCGGCACAUCUCAAGUCUUAGUUCGCUUACGAGCAUAGUCUCCAACAUCACGUGGCUUUCCACUAGUUCGAUGUCUCACAAUGAGUACUUCAUCAUCUGAUACCACAUGCCAUGAUCAACAUCAAACUAUUUUCGCAACGAGCUCACGCAAGCGCUUCAUUUGUGAAUUCGAGUCAAACUCCUCGAUAAGGCUAUCCGCCAAAUCACUCUCUUUGGUCUCCACAGGUGGACCAAAGGCCACCAAUCCUACGUAGGCCUACCGCCUAAACCUGUCUCAAUACGCAGCGUCUUUCGCUCGCAAAUGCAGAUCCAAUCAUCAUCGGGCGAAAUUCUCACUUGGGAAUUCGCACACACUCCAACCAGGAGCAACUAAGACCCCAAACCGUUACAGAUUCCCGGGUUGGGUCACAAUCGUACUCUCGGUAUACUAUCAAUCGCACGACAUGCUCUACCGAGCCACACAUACCACUACCGGCUACUAUGCACCUAAUGCGAGUCACCAGUCCCACAGGUGAUCCAUGGCACACUUCACAACUAGCAAUGCUCAAGUGCUACUUCCAAUACACUCUCUUAACUGAACUAAACAUGCACUUCACGAGCAACUAUACCCGAACGUCAUACGCCUCUAUAGCGUUCCACACUAAGUCUAGUGUUAGGCAAUUCUUGCCUAUGUACGCCGACUACACAAGCACGACCCUCCUACCUCACAUUGAGGUACUACUAGGCCUACGUGCUUGCACUUGGUUACUAACCAACUAUUUUCUCAACAGUGAUUCUACUUUCACUAUUCGAUCUACCGGAAUGACAUCCGAAAUUUUCAGAACACUCGGGUGUUCUCAAAUACCACGGCACAACUCUCGCAAUCUACUAAUUAAGUUGCUCUAAGAGUCGAUUCGCCACUUCUGUCUCUGCUGCGAGUCUCACUUCUCGCCAUAGAUCACUACUAGCACUUCGCUAGUGCCAUCUGGCUCUAUACCUGUACUGGCAGGUACUACGCCCUCACAACACGAGCAUGCCCAGGUAUCUAUACUUACCCGUCCACUCGAUCUCUACUAUGCUCAUGCAUGACAAUAGUAAUUAACCACAUAACCAUUGCAUGCAAUGCAUCAACUUCACAUCAUACAAAACAUAUGCUUGCAUCAAUAACUCAUACCUGCAACGACGUCGUCAGCAGCAGGUUCCUCAAUUUGGGUCGCGUAUCUAUGGCCACCCAACGCUCGCCGCGAACCCGUAGGUUGCAUUGUCGUCAAUGCCCUCUCCUGCUGUGGGAGAGAGGGAUAGGACAUAUAACAUGUUGUAAUAUUUGCAAAUAGGCCCUCCCACUUUCUAUCCAGUGCACUGCCCAAACUGGGCAAUUUUCGUGCUGAGGGACCGGUCUCUCCCUACCUGGGACCGGUCCCCGAGAGCUUCUCCCGCGGUCUGCGCAACCUGCGCACGAGGCAACCGGUCUCCCCUGAUGGGACCGGUCUCGAUUGCGACUCGGCCUAGCCCAACCUCUUGCCAUUUCGAACGUGACUCGGCCUAACCUUGCCUCCUAUUGAACUGCAUGGCAGGAUGCUGGCCUGUUUAAGCCAAUGAUCUCUCUUUGCAUCUGCACAAAUUCACAGCACGCGAGAAUCAAACUCGUGACCUUUAGCUCUGAUGCCACUUAUUGGAUCAUUGGCACUAACUAUUACUCCCAAAAGCUUGAGCUAAUUGAAAGAUACAACAAAUUAACUUAAAAGCAUACAGUUAGCACCCAUGGGUCUCAAUUAUGACUUUACCUAACCAACCUCUUACCAUUUCAAAUAUAACUUGGCCUAGCCAGACCUCCCAUUACUUCGAACGUGAUUCGGUCCAACCUAACCUCCCGCUACAUGGUAGAAUGCUAGUUCCUUUAAGCCAACAAUAGAGGAGAAGGUGACUUGCAUGGCUGCUGGGAGAGGGAGGGGAAGAGAGAGAGGGAUCGAGCGGGAGUAGUUAUAGGUUUUAUUUUUAUUUUCUCAUUUGGUAACAAUUGUAAACAGACCCACUAGAUGUUUCUCUUUUGCCCAUAACUCCUCAACACUGCAUUUUUUGCACACGAGACUCAAAAAAAUUUUUUAUAAUUUCACACAUGAAAUGUCACAUUUUUUGCAAGAAAAUUCUCUGAUGAAGUUUAACUCUAAAUUUUUUUGUCUAUGCUACUUUGCACAAUAAUCAACAAAUUUUAUGAAACUUUAAUCCACAUAUUUCUCUCUGUGUUACUUACAUAUUAGUCAUUUGACUCGCUGAAACUUCAAAAUUUUUACAUGAAAUGAUAUUUUUUUCACAUGAAAUGAUAACAUUUUUUUCAUUUCAUAAAAAUUUAAUUUUCGUUCCUUUGGGAAAUCAAGUGCUUUGACUUUGUCACUCGAGAUCCACCACAGGUUAGGUUUAAGACCCAUGCGGCCUCUUACCCCAAAUCGGGCAUAAAUUUUACUCAAAAAGUCAUCCACAUAUGUGUUUUACAAAUAAGUCCUCAAAUCGAGUGAUUUGACAUACGAUAUGUCACUCUUUUUGAAUAAAGACUUUGUUUUAUUGAGUUUCGCUCUCACUCGAUUUUAUUUCCAAAAUAUCACAUUAUCGCAUGAAAUUGCGCAAAGGUCCCUUUCAUGACUUACAACACUAUUAGCUAGAUCUCGGAAGUGGCAAUUUUUAUUUUGUUGAAAAAUUAUUCAAUUACGCAAUAACCCCUCCAUCUUUAUGAAAAUUGCUAUAAAAAACCUCGGUGUCAUUUCUAAUUUGUCCCUCUAAAAUUUCAUCUGAUUUUUCUUCUCCCUCGUCUCCAAGGGGGAGUCCAUUGGAUCCAGCGAAGGUGCCAUCAUCGCACCCAACUAGAUGGAGAAAGGUGCUGGGGGACAUUGUGUCACGCCUCGACCAUACCAUAGUAGCCCUAGAGAGUCUCGUCGUCAACAGCAACUGCAGUGGCGACGGAGGCAAAUGGUCGAAGAUCGUACAAUCAAAGUUUGUUGACGUGAAGGCACUCGAUUUCGUCACCAACACAAGGAUCUACCUACUCAGCCACCAUCGUCUCGUCCUUGUUCUCCUCGGUCUGCGUGCAUUACCAUGCAUCGGAUCAAAUUAAUGGUGGAAGCACGAGAGUGAUGCUCGAGGCGAAAGAUCACAAGGUCGACACCUUUUGCAACCACAUCGCUGAGAUCAGCGGUAGGGGCAAUUAAUGAUGGCGGUGGAAUCGUCAGCGGAGUAGGAGGCAUCGGCAGAAACAUGGCGAGUAGGCUUUAUAAUGAAAAUUUUAUGUAAAGGAUAAAAAAGCCUUUUUACUUUUAAACUCAUUAGGGUUAAAUAUUUUAUCCAUGAUUAAUCAUAGUUUUCUAAUAGAGAUUAACAGCAUGCUUGUUUUUGCAAAUGACAAAAUUUUUGAAGAAAUAAGUCUCAUAACUUAAACUUUAUAGGAAUAAAUUUGGAAGAACACCUCUUUAUCGAAAUUCGUAUGAAAUAAUCACUACAACAAAACAAAUAUUUAGCGGCAAUUUAAUAGCGGCGAUUAUAGAACAGCCACUAUUUUUUAUUAUCUAGUUGUGUUUAGCGGCAAUUAUUUAAGCUAUAUAUUUUUACCGACUAAUAUGUAUACAUUAAAUAUAUUUAUUUGGUGCCCAGUAGUGCCCUAACCCAAACCCACCCCACCCUCACCCUGCAUCGACUUCUCACCACGCUCGAUCAACCCCGCCCCUCUUUCCCAACCCCCUUCGUUUAUGCGCUCGGAUCCCUCGGUUCGAUGAGAGAGCUCCGAAACCCUAGCAAUGGCGAUCUCGUCGAGAUUGAGAUCCCUCCUCGUCCUCCUAGUUCUCCUCCUCCCCCUCCUCGUCGUUUCAAUUGCGAUCGCGAGCUCACAAGAUGGUGAGCCUCUCGCGGCUCAAAUCCGCCGCCGAGAGAGGUCUCCGUCUUCAUCGAACUCUACAACCAAGGAUCCGCGUGAGCUUUCCCCUCCAAAAUCUUGCUUCUAUUUGCUUCAAUUCACUGUUCUUUACUCAAAUUACUGGUUUGAUCGAUUAUUUGAUCUUUUUCUUAAAAAAAAAUUACUGCUAAUUAUGGUUUGGUCGGGCGCAACCGCCGAUGGCGUGCCUAAUUGUUAGGCGCGCGUGUCGCAUUUCCGUGUACUCUUCGUCGGGCACGGAAAUGGAAGGGGCCAUCUUAAAGGCUCGAUCCGGUAUGCCCCUGACCUUCUCGGCCCCAAGAGGAGGAUCCUUGACCCGGCGAUCCGAUCCGAGCCCUCGGCAGUGCGGCUUCUCGAUUCGGUGCUUUGAUCCAUUGGUAAGAGCUCUCAAUCUCAAAUUCUACUACAGGGAAUGAAGAAUCGCUCAACUGUGAGAUCUACCAUUACUCUAAGAACUAGUUACAUUCAAAUCCGUAGCUGUAUCCAAUUCCUUUUACUCUAAAAAUCUCCAUCAAUGACGAGUCGUGGGGCUUCUCAGGUUUAUUCGUAGGUUUUGGAUCUCUUUAGCCAAUAAAUAUUUAACAUUUUUCUCCUCUCUCCUGUUCCCACUUGUUCUUCCUCUCUGUGCCCAACAAUCAGGUAUGGGCUCUUCUCUCUCUCUCUGUCUCUCUAUGUAAGUUCAUCUCUGUAAUUAGAUGGGUAUGUGUGUAAUUUCCCAUGUUUGGGAUUUGGGUUUUCUGUGUGAUCCAUGUAUAUUGCCUCUGAUGUGUGGAUUUGAUGUUUUUUUUUUGGUUUAAUUUUGGUGGGUUUUUUUGGAUUUUAGUAGUUUGUAAUUGCUGUUACCUCUUAAUUUGGUGUAAAAAUUGGAACUUUGGUGAGUUUUUUUCCCCUUUUUUUUUCACCUUUUAGAUCCUUGAUAUCUCUGUGGGGCUAUAUUCUCAGAGGGAGUUUAAAAAUAAGGCUCUUCUUUAGAGAGAGAGAGAGAGAGAGAAGAGGGGGGGUGCAGGGCCCUAGGUUUUUUCAAGUUGGGUUUUUGCUAAUCAUGUGAACUGAGUUUAUGCAGGAUUUUGAGCUGAUUAUUGGAUUUAAAUGUUAAUUUUGUUUUGAACUCACUCAUUUGGAUCAACAAAACUCAGUGUUUUUGUUUAAAAAUGAAGGAAUCCUUUCGAUUUAUUGGGUUUGUAGUAAACUUAAUUAGUCAGCUAUAAAUGAUUCAAUGGAUUCUAUGGAUUCUUUACACAGCAUGUUGGUGAAGAAAUGUAGGUUCUGUUUCAAAUAUACUCAAGUCAAAUAUUCAGAAAUUGGAUCUUUCUCAUGUUUAUUCAGUGUUGUUCUUUACCUUGAUGUCCUUUUGAUGUGCAUUGGGGUGCUUACCAUUUCCAAACAAGCUUAAAUGUGAAUAAGUUCAAACUUAAGGGCUGAUGAAAUAUAACACAUUACUGAUUCUGGGACGUCUUUCCUGUGAGUAGUUAAACUACUUCUUAAUCAAUGUAGCCAACUUCGAAACUUUCACGCCUUCUAAUUGGUUCUGAAAUGCCACCAUUGUUCAGUGAUAUGACUAGAUUAGAGCUUGGAAGCGUGAUGUAAGUGUACGCUAAAAUAUAACAAAACAUCUCAGCAAUACCAUCGUGAAAUUUUUCUUAAACAACUUAGCUUAGCAUGUAUUCUUUCAUCCUUUUCUCUCUCCAUAUAUAUACAUGCAUAACUACAUUCCUAUACAUGAACAUUUCUUCAUAUAUAACAUUUCUUCAUAUGUCACUCAAUUGAGGGGAACUAUCACUAAGAGUGUCUCUACUCUUAGGUUUGAUGCGAGCAUGUUGUAAUGGCUAGUACAUUAUUCUGUGGGGUUUAUCACUAAGAAUGUCCACACUUGCAACAAAUUAUAAUGUUCAACCUAAUAGCUCCCAAAGAUAACAAUAUAGAAGCAGGAUUGUAAGCAGUGCAACGGUAUAUUGUGGCCCUUGAAUUGAUGGAAGAAACUGGCCUAUACAUAUGUGAAGGUCUCAACGUAUUCUUGCUGGUGGUAGGAAGUAAUUUUAGAUUUCAUUAUCUAUUUAUUUGCUCAUUGCUACUAUCUAAUUCAGUUCGAUCCGACUGACAUAAUUCUUUUAGUCCUUUUGAAACUAGCCGCUUGAAUAUUUUGCUCAUGCCUAAUAUUGGCAUUCUAUUGAUGUGUUGAAGAUAAUUAUUGUUUGUAGGGGAUCAUAUAUAUAGAUGUGGCAAAUCUUCUUGUGGAGACUUGGAUACCGUUAUCACUCAUCCUGAUCGGGAAAGGUAAACCGCGGAAUGCAUUGAUAAAUUUUAAUGAUUGUCACUCAAUUGAUUCAGAAAUAUAGGCCAUUUCAUCUUGGCAACCAUAUUCACUUGUUUCCUCAUGCUUUUUUUUUUUUAUGCAUUGAGUCAUUCUAUUUUGACAUUUUAGUUCUGGGAAAGCAACAUGCUCUAGUGUCAAUUUUCUACCAAUCAAAUUGUUUUCAACAAUUAAUAACUUUCAUAUUAGUUAAUAUAAACACAAAAGUAAUUUUUUUGUUGCUUUCUCUUCAUGAUAUCAUUUGUUAUUUAUCUUGUUUAAAUGUGAAAACUUUUCUGUAUAAUCAUUUUAUCCUGCCUAUCUGUGCAGCCGACACAUCACAUACUUCUUUUCGUUUUUUGGUCCAGCCACAAAGGCUUUUUACCUAGGUACAUUCAAUAUUUGAAGGACAUCAACUUUCUGAGAGAGGAUCUUGUAUUUAGCACGCAUAGAACUGGUGUAAGUAGUGCAUUCAUUUUUAUUUCUUUUAUAUCCAUUUCCCUUUGACUUUCUUGCUUAUUUCUUUUUUAAAUUGAGACCUUUCAACUUCUUUUCCUUUUUGGGAGUUUUUAUACUUAGGUAAAAUAAAAAUUUUAUCAAAUUUAAAUACUUUAUUAGUUACUAUUUACUAAUUAUUAAUUGAGAUAGUUUUAUCAAAUUUAAUAACUCUAUUAGUUAAUAACUACUGACUGAUAUAGUUUUAUUCUCUAAAAAGUGAUUAAAGUCAUUAAUUAAUUCACUAAAAAGUUAUUAAAAUUAGUAAAUUUUGUGAAAUUAUCAAUGAAUUUGAUAAAAAUUCAUAAAUUUGUUUGACUAAAAUCACUUAAUUUUACGAAGUUAGAAGUUGAGAGGACUACUGUAGAGUUGCUUAUAAUUGAGGGGGGUCCAUAUAUAUAUUUCUCAUAUUUGUGCACUGUUGAUCUUAGUCAAUAUUAAGUACAACAUAAGAUAUAUUAUACUUUUAAUUUCAUGAAUCUAUUUUCUACUUUGUUUAAUAUUUGUGUAGUAUGAUUUGUUCAAAUUAAUUAGUUUCAAGUUAUGUGCUAAAUUGACUAUUUAAAUUAGCUUUUUUUAACACUAAUUGUAAUAUAUUUACUCUCUUAGGCUUCAGAUGCAUCCGCUUCUCAUCUAUGAUGUUCAUCCAUGGGCUUAUUGUUCAUUAGGUAAAUUUAAUCAUCUUUUUAUAACUGAUCAGUAGUGGUGAGCAUCAUCCGUUCUGUUCGGUUUUUGACCCUUUUUUCCCCCUUAAGGGCUUGUUUGCUUGCCCCUUUGUGAUUUACAGUUGAAAAUAGCUUUCAAUUAAACUGAAGUUCAUGUGAUUUUUUUUUUUCCUUAGCUAUUUGUUUGAUAGGAAGGCAAUGGCUUUGGAUUAUGUCACUUUUUUAUUUAUUUUACUCAUAUUGAAUCAGAUAAACCAAAUUGACUCAGCUCGGUUUGGUAAUAUUUAAACUGUGGAUAGUGCUCACCCCUAACUAUGAGGGUAUAAUAUGAUGCAAUGCUUAUUUACAUUGUCAUGACACAAUGCUUUCUUUUGCCACUUUGCUAUAGAUCCCACCAACAUUAGCACCCAUUGAUGCAAUUGAGAGAUAUACUCAGAUCUCUAGUCAUCCCCUUCACAAGACUAAGAAGCCAGGCAUUUUAUCUGUGGAUAUCCAUCCUUUGAAGGUUUGUACACUUGAAAAUUACUGUUAUAGAUAUAUUCCCCCCCCUGGUUUUUAAUCUAUACUUUAUCCUUAUGAAUGAAAUAGAAAAAUUAUGAUGCACCGAUACAUGCGCUAAGACAUGUUUUCUAGAGCAGAAAAUGUGCUCCAAACAGUUCUAUCAUUAUCUGAACAAAGCGAUUGAGACUAAACCAGAACUGAAAUUUAUGGAACAAUUUAUUAGGAUGUUUGUUAAUAUUAUAGGGAGCCAAUUUUCCUCAUGUGACAUGCGCUAUUUGACCAUACAGACUCAAAAGAGGAGCUUCAUAUAACGAAUGCUGAUGAACCCAUUUUUUAGGAAAAUAAUCGGAAGUUCUUCAAUUUAUCCCCAAGUCCAAUUUGGAUAUAUUAUGAUACAAUUAGUUCUUGUUAAAGGGAUUAUUAGGAAUCAGCUUCAUAUUCAUUUCAUCAAACUGGGGACUGGGUUGAUGUGAUGUCACAUUAUUUGAUAGUUUGUUUACACUCUCAUUUGUUUCAGCUGAGUAAAUCAUAGCAAAAUUUUCUUUUUGGACCUAAACCAUUAAAAUUUUACAAUUGUUUUGUUAGUCUCUAUAUUGUGCCUUCCCUUUUAGUUUCUUCGUUUAGAUCGAAAGAUUAUGCUUCUCCAAUGUCCUUCUCGUUGCCAUGUUAAUCAAGAAAGAGAAGAACACAGCAUUCGCUUUUAUGGCAAUUAUUAUUGGUGAUUAUUAAUUAAUUAGGAACUUGCUUUUACAAGCUGAUUGGCAAUUAAAGAGUGUAAACCUCCUUAGUAUUUACUUUUUAGAAGUGCCAGUGUUGCUAACAGCUAAUCAUGACAUACACAUAUGACGAAGUGGCAAUAGCAUUAGGGCUAUUUGGUUCCAGCUCUAGAAUAUAUAUAUAUAUAUAUAUUUCUAGUUUGAAACAGUAGGAAUUAACUUUUCAAGUUUAGUUGAGGUGUUGGACUGUUGAUAAACUGACCGUGUCUAAAUUUGAUAGAUAUGUUAAACGAUGUAUUCAUUUGAAAAAUUUACAUAAAACUUGUCUAAAUUAUUAGCUACUUUGAUCCAUCUAACCUUUAAUAAGUUUUGAUUUUGCUUUCUAUUUUUUAGAUUUAAGUGAUUUGAGUUGUUCAACUGCUUUUUAACUUGUGAAUUUAAGCUUAUCUAAUUUGAUUGGAGUGCUUUAUAUGAUUCUUGAAAUAUUUAUUUCUCAUAUAUAGAUGCUUGUUUCUUCUUUUUGCAGCUCUUAAUGCCAGUUGAACCGAAUAUCCAAGACAUAGGUGGUACUGAGAAAUUUUCGAAAAGAAAUACUUCAGGUUCGUCUAACUUUGGUACUAACUCAAAGCUUAAAAGGCCUAUGCGCUCUUAAGGAAAUUAUAAGUUCUUUUUUUCUUGCUUAAAUUUAUGUUUGUUUGCUUCGUGGCUUAGAUGCCGAGCAACUUCCACUUCCUUUUCUUUUCGAUUUGUGCGUUCUCUCAAAUUGGAGAAUUUUUAAAAUAUUAUAAAUCAUGAACCAAACAGGCCCAAAGGGUGAAUCUCCAUGCUUUAGUGUUCAGCAUUUGGUAUAUUGAUUAGAUUUAUUAGCUUUGAUUUGGUCAAAUGGUUGAAUAGGCAUGGAAUUGGACGAUUUCUAUUGAUAAUAGGAUAAUUUGCAAUAGUUGAAAUAGAAUAAAGUUACAAAUCAUUGUCAUCAAUCGUUAUUAAAUUACGAUGGAUUUGGGUAGUCAUUUCUCUGCAGAUUGGGAAAAUUUUGACUAAUCUGAAUAAUUGUGGACAAGAAUAUAAUUGCUGUCAGUGUCAGUUUACAUAGCCAAUUGUCCCCCAAAACAACAAACUAUAAUGGAAAGGAUGAAUUGCUCUCUCCCUAUCAUUUUUCUUUUCUUUCAAUCUUCUCGUCUUCUCUUUGUUGGUUGUUUAUGUCACUUUUAGCUAUUUACACAUCUCUUGGGAUUUUAUUGUGACUCGGCUAUGAUUUAAAGUGAGAAAAUGAUGGUUCUGUUUUGUGUGGAAGUCGUAAAAGUACGUGGUUUGAUGCUGUCCAAUUAGAACAUUUCUUAAUCAAUUUGAAUUUAUAUCGAUGAUUUACAUAUUUUCUCAUACUUGUGGCAAGGGACAAGAUGUUACUUUAAAGUGACAAUUUCAUAAAAAUAGUUCUUCGAUAGUUUUUCAGGUUUGAUGGUGAUGAGUCUUUUGUUCUUUGUUGUUUGUUAUUUCUGUCUUGUCUAAUCUUAUGUAAUUUGUCGCUUAACUAGAUUUCAUAACCUUUACCUUCUUAUUGUACUCUACUAUUUGUAGUCACUUCGAAAUCUGAAANGGUUAAGAGAGGUUAAGUCCGUGGAGUCGGUAAUCACCUUGUAAUCUUUUCUCUUAGUGAAUUAUUUUUUUUCGCGUGUUGGUCCCGUGGGUUUUUCUCCAAGUUGGAGUUUUCCCACGUAAAUCUCGGUGUGCUUUUUAUUUUCCGCAUUUAUUUUUAUUGCAUCGAGAUUUGUGGUUUUUGGCCGUUCA